CUGCUGCUGCUGCUGCUCGUGGCCUAUGGCGCCCAGGAAGUCCCUCUCCAUCCAGCCGGCUCGGGAAAGGAGGCCGCGGACUUGCCUCCGAUACAGGAGGAAUAAACGGAUUUCGUUUCGCUCCCCACCCCCUCUGAACCUUCCUUCCUCCUCUGACUCUCUCACUGAUACUACUACUCCUCCUCUGUGAACGAACGAUGAUGAUGAUGACGACGACGAGCUCUCUCUCUCUCUAUAUCUCUCCCUCUCUCCCAGCCUUGACCGCUCUGCCUCUCUCGCGUAUGUAUACUGCUCCAGUACUCCUAGCCCAGGCCUGUGCGUGCGUGCGCGCGCCUGGGGCGCCACUAAUCGAUUAUGUUUAUUUUCGGGCCAGGAGGUUAGAUCGGGUGGGAGAAGACGAUGAUUAAAUUCAAUUAAAUUAAACAAACUAAUUAUUUUUAUUAAAUAAACAAAAGUGAUUAAAUCAGUCGAGCGGAAGAGAAGGAAAGAAAGGUGUGGCGAGCACGGCGGUGGGCCACCGCGGCGACCGGAUCGGGGCGCCCUCCUCUCGCGCCGCUCCAGCCCACGUGGUCGGGCACGAGCGCGUCCCGCUCCACGAGGCGUCCCGCGCNNNNNNNNNNNNNNNNNNNNNNNNNNNNNNNNNNNNNNNNNNNNNNNNNNNNNNNNNNNNNNNNNNNNNNNNNNNNNNNNNNNNNNNNNNNNNNNNNNNNCUUUGUCCUUCGGUAUGUUACUUGCCCGAGAUUCGAUCGUCAGUAUCCGUAUACCUAUUUCAAUCUCGUUUACCGGUAAGUCUCUUUACUUGUUCCGUAAUACAAGAUCCCGCAACUUACACUAAGUUACAUUUCUUGCAAGGCUUGUGUGUGAUGUUGUAUUACCGAGUGGGCCCUGAGAUACCUCUCCGUCACACGGAGUGACAAAUCCCAGUCUCGAUCUAUACUAACUCAACUAACACCUUCAGAGAUACCUGUAGAGCAUCUUUAUAGUCACCCAGUUACGUUGCGACGUUUGAUACACACAAAGCAUUCCUCCGGUGUCAGUGAGUUAUAUGAUCUCAUGGUCAUAGGAAUAAAUACUUGACACGCAGAAAACAGUAGCAACAAAAUGACACGAUCAACAUGCUACGUCUAUUAGUUUGGGUCUAGUCCAUCACGUGAUUCUCCUAAUGACGUGAUCCAGUCAUCAAGCAACAACACCUUGUUCAUAAUCAGAAGACACUGACCAUCUUUGAUCAACUGGCUAGCCAACUAGAGGCUUNNNNNNNNNNNNNNNNNNNNNNNNNNNNNNNNNNNNNNNNNNNNNNNNNNNNNNNNNNNNNNNNNNNNNNNNNNNNNNNNNNNNNNNNNNNNNNNNNNNNCCCCAACAGUGGCAUCAUGAGCUAGGUUCAUGCGUAGAUGUCUUCUCGUGUAGAACACAAAAGGUUUUGUGGGCGGUGAUGUGCGUUUUGCUGCCCUCCUUAGUCUUUUCUUGAUUCCGCGGUAUUGUUGGAUUGAAGCGGCUUGGACCGACAUUACUCGUACGCUUACGAGAGACUGGUUUCAUCGUUACGAGUAACCCCCUUUGCUCAAAGAUGACUGGCAAGUGCCGGUUUCUCCAACUUUAGUUGAAUCGGAUUUGACCGAGGAGGUCCUUGGAUGAGGUUAAAUAGCAACUCAUAUAUCUCCGUUAUUGUGUUUGCGUAAGUAAGAUGCGAUCCUACUAGAUACCCUUGGUCACCACGUAAAACAUGCAACAACAAAAUUAGAGGACGUCUAACUUGUUUUUGCAGGGUAUGCUUGUGAUGUGAUAUGGCCAACGAUGUGAUGUGAUAUAUUGGAUGUAUGAGAUGAUCAUGUUGUAAUAGUUAAUAUCGACUUGCACGUCGAUGGUACGGCAACCGGCAGGAGCCAUAGGGUUGUCUUUAUACUAACGUGUGUGCUUGCAGAUGCGUUUACUAUUUUGCUAGGAUGUAGCUUUAGUAGUAAUAGCAUGAGUAGCACGACAACCCCGCUGGCAACACGUUGAUGGAGAUCAUGGUGUGGCGCCGGUGACAAGAAGAUCGUGCCGGUGCUUUGGUNNNNNNNNNNNNNNNNNNNNNNNNNNNNNNNNNNNNNNNNNNNNNNNNNNNNNNNNNNNNNNNNNNNNNNNNNNNNNNNNNNNNNNNNNNNNNNNNNNNNAGAUGAUGGAAGCAACUUUGUAGACUGGGCUCGUAAUCUUAAGCUAAUCUUACAAGCUGGGAAGAAGGAUUAUGUCCUUAAUGCUGCGUUAGGAGAUGAACCACCCGCUACGGCUGAUCAGGAUGUUAAGAACGCUUGGUUAGCACGUAAGGAGGACUACUCAAUGGUUCAAUGUGCAGUCUUGUAUGGCUUAGAACCGGGACUUCAACGUCGCUUUGAGCGUCAUGGAGCAUUUGAGAUGUUCCAGGAGUUGGAGUUUAUCUUUCAGAAAAAUGCCCGAAUCGAGAGGUAUGAGACCUCCGAUAAAUUCUAUGCUUGCAAGAUGGAGGAAAACUCAUCUGUCAGUGAACAUGUGCUCAAAAUGUCUGGGUACUCAAACCGUCUAGCUGAGCUGGGGAUUGAACUCCCGCAAGAAGCUGUCACUGACAGAAUCCUUCAAUCACUGCCGCCAAGCUAUAAAGGCUUUGUGUUGAACUACAACAUGCAAGGGAUGAACGAGUCUCCCGGCGAGUUGUUUGCGAUGCUGAAAGUCGCACAGUCUUAACUCCGUAAAGAGCAUCAAGUGUUGAUGGUGAAUAAGACCACUAGUUUCAAGAGAAACGGCAAAGGCAAGAAGGGCAAUUCGAAGAAUAGCGGCAAGUCUGUUGCCAAUCCGAUGAAGAAACUGAAAGCUGGACCUAAGCCGGAAACGGAGUGUUACUAUUGCAAGGGUAUGGGUCACUGGAAGCGCAAUUGCCCCAAGUAUCUGGCAGAUAAGCAGGCGGGCAAAGAAAAAUCAGGUAUAUUUGAUAUACAUGUUAUUGAUGUGUACUUAACCGGCUCUCGUAGUAGUGCCUGGGUAUUCGAUACCGGUUCUGUUGCUCAUAUUUGCAACUCGAAACAGGAACUGCGGAAUAGGCUAAGGCUGGCGAAAGAUGAAGUGACGAUGCGCGUAGGAAAUGGUUCCAAGGUUGAUGCAAUCGCCGUCGGCACGGUGUCACUUCAGUUACCGUCAGGAUUAGUGAUGAACUUAAAUCAUUGUUAUUUAGUGCCUGCGUUGAGCAUGAACAUUAUAUCUGGAUCUUGUUUAUUGCGAGACGGUUACUCUUUUAAGUCAGAGAAUAAUGGUUGUUCUAUUUCUAUGAGUAACAUCUUUUAUGGUCAUGCACCGAAUGUGAGAGGAUUGUUCAUAUUGAAUCUUGAUAGCGAUACGCAUAUACAUAACAUUGAGACCAAGAGUUAGAGUUAACAAUGAUAGCGCCAUAUUUUUGUGGCACUGUCGCUUAGGUCAUAUUGGUGUAAAGCGCAUGAAGAAACUCCAUGCUGAUGGACUUUUGGAGUCACUUGACUUUGAUUCACUUGACACGUGCGAACCAUGCCUCAUGGGCAAGAUGACUAAGACUCCGUUCUCAGGAACAAUGGAGCGUGCAAGUGACUUGUUGGAAAUCAUACAUACCGAUGUGUGUGNNNNNNNNNNAUUUAAGUAGAUAUGGUUAUGUCUACUUGAUGAAGCACAAGUCUGAAACAUUUGAAAAGUUCAAGCAAUUUCAGAGUGAAGUGGAAAAUCAUCGGAACAAGAAGAUCAAGUUCCUACGGUCUGAUCGUGGGGGUGAAUAUCUGAGUUUCGAGUUUGGUGCUCACUUAAGACAAUGUGGAUUUGUUUCACAGUUAACACCGCCUGGAACACCACAGCGUAAUGGUGUGUCCGAACGUCGUAAUCGUACUCUAUUAGAGAUGGUGCGAUCUAUGAUGUCUCUUACUGAUUUGCCGUUAUCAUUUUGGGGCUAUGCAUUAGAAACAGCUGCAUUCACUUUAAAUAGGGCACCAUCAAAAUCCGUUGAGACGACACCAUACGAACUGUGCUAUGGCAAAAGGCCAAAGUUGUCGUUUCUUAAAGUUCGGGGAUGUGAUGCUUAUGUCAAAAAGCUUCAGCCUGAAAAGCUGGAACCCGAAGCGGAAAAGUGCGUCUUCAUAGGUUACCCAAAAGAGACAGUUGGGUACACCUUCUAUCUCAAAUCCGAGGGCAAAGUGUUUGUUGCUAAAAACGGAGCUUUUCUCGAGAAGGAGUUUCUCUCGAGAGAAUUGAGUGGGAGGAAGAUAGAACUUGACGAGGUUGUCGAACCUCUCAUCCCUCUGGAUGGUGGCGCAGGGCAAGGGGAAACCUCUGUCAUUGCGACGCCGGUUGAGGAGGAAGUUAAUGAUGGUGAUCAUGAAACUCCAGUUCAAGUUUCUGCCGAACCACGCAGGUCGACGAGACCACGUGCUGCUCCAGAGUGGUACGGUAAUCCCGUCUUAUCAAUCAUGUUGUUAGACAACAAUGAACCUGCGAAUUAUGAAGAAGCAAUGGUGGGCCCAGAUUCCAACAAAUGGCUGGAAGCCAUGAAGUCCGAGAUAGGAUCCAUGUAUGAGAACAAAGUGUGGACUUUGGAGGUAGUACCUGAGGGCCGCAAGGCUAUUCAGAACAAAUGGAUCUUUAAGAGGAAGACGGACGCUGACGGCAAUGUGACCGUUUAUAAAGCUCNNNNNNNNNNNNNNNNNNNNNNNNNNNNNNNNNNNNNNNNNNNNNNNNNNNNNNNNNNNNNNNNNNNNNNNNNNNNNNNNNNNNNNNNNNNNNAAGUUCAAGGAGUUGACUACGAUGAGACAUUCUCACCCGUAGCGAUGCUUAAGUCCGUCAGAAUCAUGUUAGCAAUAGCUGCAUUUUUCGAUUAUGAAAUCUGGCAGAUGGAUGUCAAAACAGCGUUCCUUAACGGUUUCCUUAAGGAAGAGUUGUAUAUGAUACAACCCGAAGGUUUUGUCGAUCCCAAGAAUGCUAACAAGGUGUGCAAGCUCCAGCGAUCCAUUUAUGGACUGGUGCAAGCAUCUCGGAGUUGGAACAAACGCUUUGAUGAGGUGAUCAAAGCAUUUGGGUUUAUACAAGUGGUUGGAGAAUCUUGUAUUUACAAGAAAGUGAGUGGGAGCUCUGUGGCGUUUCUAAUAUUAUAUGUGGAUGACAUAUUACUGAUUGGAAACAACGUAGNNNNNNNNNNNNNNNNNNNNNNNNNNNNNNNNNNNNNNNNNNNNNNNNNNNNNNNNNNNNNNNNNNNNNNNNNNNNNNNNNNNNNNNNNNNNNNNNNNNNGAGAACAUGAUAGGUUCAGAUCUGAAAUCAUGGCACUCGGGCCCUAGUGACAAGCAUUAAGCAUGGCAAAGUAGUAGCAACAUCAAUUUCAGAACAUAGUGGAUACUAGGGAUCAAUCCCCGUCAAAACUAACUCGAUUACAUGAUAGAUCUCAUCCAACCCAUCACCGUCCAACAAGCCUACGAUGGGAUUACUCAACAACGGUGAAGAGCAUCAUGGAAUUGGCGAUGAAGGAAGGUUGGUGAUGACGAUGGCGGCGAUCUCCCCUCUCCGGAGCCAAGAACGGACUCCAGAUCUGGCCUCCAGAGGAAGAACAGGAGGUGGCGGUGCCUCGAUAUCGUAAAACGCGAUGAACUCUUCUCCCUGAUUUUUGUCCAGACGAAAAGGGACUAAAUAGAGCUGGAAUUGGAGGCGGUGGAGAUUCGUGGGCCCCACAAGCCUGCCAGGCGCGGCCAGGGGGGCCCGCGCCUGGUGGGCUUGUGGGCUCCACGCUCCACUUCUCCGGUUGAUUCUUGCACCAGUAUUUUUUAUAUAUUCCACAAAAAAUCCUCGUAAAUUUCCAGGUCAUUCCGAGUACUUUUAUUUCUGCGCAAAAAUAACACCAUGACAAUUCUGCUGAAAAUAGCGUUAGUCCGGGUUAGUUACAUUCAAAUCAUGCAAAUUAGAGUCCAAAACAAGGGCAAAAGAGUUUGNNNNNNNNNNACGAUCUCCCCUCUCCGGAGCCCAGAACGGACUCCCGAUCUGCCCUCCAGAGGAAGAACAAGAGGUGGCAGGGCCUCCGUAUCGUUAAACGCGAUGAACUCUUCUCCCUGAUUUUUUUCCGGACGAAAGGGACUAAAUAGAGCUGGAAUUGAAGGUGGUGGAGCUUCGUGGGCCCCACAAGCCUGCCAGGCGCGACCAGGGGGCCCGCGCCUGGUGGGCUUGUGGGCUCCACGCUCCACUUCUCCGNNNNNNNNNNNNNNNNNNNNNNNNNNNNNNNNNNNNNNNNNNNNNNNNNNNNNNNNNNNNNNNNNNNNNNNNNNNNNNNNNNNNNNNNNNNNNNNNNNNNNNNNNNNNNNNNNNNNNNNNNNNNNNNNNNNNNNNNNNNNNNNNNNNNNNNNNNNNNNNNNNNNNNNAACUUUUAUUUCUGCGCAAAAACAACACCAUGGCCAUUCUGCUGAAAACAACAUUAGUCCGGGUUAGUUCCAUUCAAAUUAUGCAAAUUAGAGUCCAAAACAAGGGCAAAAGAGUUUGGAAAAGUAGANNNNNNNNNNNNNNNNNNNNNNNNNNNNNNNNNNNNNNNNNNNNNNNNNNNNNNNNNNNNNNNNNNNNNNNNNNNNNNNNNNNNNNNNNNNNNNNNNNNNNNNUUUGCACCCAUGAGAACAUAAACUCAUGUGGCUGGGUUGUACAUCCAUUCCUCUAAAUCUAGCCAUUGAUAAGAUCGAGCCUCGCAAACCAACAUGAAAAUGCCAAGCCCGUGGACACCUAAUUUUGGAUAUUUUCAUAUUUAAUAUUAAUAUUAAAAUAAUUUUAUAUUGUACCCAGUUUCCAUAUUAAACCCCCAAAACCACGUCUCCAGGGUUUCUAGGCCCAAAGUGAGGUAUGAGCCUAACCAUACGCAAAUCACCUUUAGUAAACAUCACGUUAGGCAUAGUCUCUCGAAGGAGUACUUGUUGAAGAACAUAUGUAAUAAUAACAUGGUUCGGAAAUUAUUUUUUCUUAAUAGGAAUGUAUGCAAAAGGUGGACUAGUGACACAAUAGUAAAACAAAUCUUACAAAGAUGUCUGAAGUGAUGUUAUAAUAGUUUAACUUGUGCACUAGUGGCACGUAUCCACUAUAAGUGCCGCCAAUCAUGAAGCUGUUCUUAAAAUGCUCAACAUCACGAAUAAAUGAGAUUGGUUUAUUUUCUCCAACCAAAUAAGCUCGGAGCCAUAACUGUAGUAGGUUCGGUCUACUAUCUGUCGUGUAUUUUUUGAAGAAGGGAAAUAGGCUGAAAAUUUAAAAUAAAUAAGUUUAGUCGGGAUGAGUAUCAAAUAUUUUUAAAUAAACAAUAUAAAUUACCCAAUAAAUUUGUUGACAAACUUACAUGGAUAUAGAACUAGAAGCAAGUGAUACACAUGCACCCAAAUUUUGAUAUUAUUAUCACGAUCAUCGUCAUGACCAAGAUCGAAGGUUAUUUGCGUGUUCUCCUGAAACCCGUAUGCCUUGCAUAAUGCUAUCCAAGAUCGAAGGUAUGUCUUUAGGUGAGCUCUCUCCGUCUCUGUACUCUCCCUAUCUUGGAAAUAAAACUUGUCCAAGACAUGAGGUCUUGCAUGGUAGGCGAAUUGUAUAAAAUAAAAUUACAUGUUAAUUAAAGCAAAAAGCACACAUCAUGCUUUAUUACAAAAAAAUACAUGCCGUCUUUACAUAUCAUAAUAAUUCCGAAGUUUUCCAUUAGCUUAACGGUGAAGGGUUUACUGUUGUCUAGGUGAGGAUAACACUCGCAUAUACCUCUAUCGUCGAUGCACCAAUUACAUCCAAGGAUCCUCUCAUCGUCAAACAUUUCUUGUGUUCAUGAUUCAAAGAUUAAAAAUUGGCUGCAACUAUACAAGAAACUAUUCAGCAUGGGUUGAAUUUCGGUCUGUCGAGGCUUCCUUCAAAAAAUCUCAUAUCUCAUGGUGUAUAUGGUGCCCACUCCAUCACACUAAUAUGAUGGUGUAUGUGGUGGGCACUCCCUCACGCUAAUUUUUGACCGUCGGUGAUUGCCGCUCCUCGCUUCGUCCCCGCGUGCAUAACUAAAAUGUCUAGCACACGGGGAGGAAGGAGGAAGCGACCCUGAUGACAACAGUCAUCUAUGAUAUUUUGACCGUCGGUGAUGGUCCCACCCUCCUUCUUCCCCGUGUGCAUUGCCAAAAUGUGUAGCACACGAGGAAGAAGGAGGAAGCUACCCCCACGACAAUAGACGAGAUUAAUCAUAUCUGAUAUUUUGACCGUUGGUGAUGGUCGCUUCCUUUUCCUCUCUCGCACAUUAUACCAAGGUAUGUAUCGCGGGAAGAGGAAGAGGAAGCGACUGUCACUCCAAUGGUCAAUAUUUCUCCAUCAAGAAGAUGACCUAUGUUUUGCCAGAAUGUUGUUUAAUUCCUGUUCUGGCAUAUCACAUGCACUUGAUAUUUCCUACUUUAUAGGAAAAGUCAUGCAAAUUUUUUGGCAUAGCCUUUGUUAAAAACAGGACAUAUCGGGCGCCUGAAAUUUGCCGAAACAGAAAUAAAUCAACAUUCUAACAAAACAUAGGCCACUCGGAGGUGUUCCCCACAAAAUCAUAUACAUGUUCAAUAAUGACAUAUGGCAUUAUUUGUUGGCAAAGUGAUAAUGACAUAAAAAUAAUCAAAUUAUCCAUUUCUAUAUUGAAAAACAUAAGCACUCAAAUUUGCUGUACCUAAAUUUUCUAUACUAAAAAUUUAUAUACCUAAAUUUUAUAUACUAAAAAUUUAUAUACCUAAAAAUUCCAAUACAUUUCUAUAUCUUAAUAGGCUAUUGUAUUAAAAACAGAGGGAUGAGGGAGGGAGGGAAGUGGAGGAAGGAUCUAUCUUGGCGUUGGGCGGUGGCUGGCAAUAGGUGGCGGGCGCGUGACGGGAAGGGCGGCCGCACGGGGGAGGGCGGCGGGUGCGGGACGGUAUGGGAAGGGCGUCCGCGCGAGGAAGGGUCGUCCAGGAUGGGUGACGGUUGGUGCAAGGAAGAGAUCGAAUGUAGAGGGAGAGAGUGAGGAGGGGGAGAGUGAGGAGAGUGAGGGGGGGCGACGCGGGGGAAGAGUGGAUAAGGUAGGAUUUAGCAGCAGCACGGGUCUAGGGCCCGUGCUACUAUUAGUCACAUUAGCUGUAGCGUCGGCCCAUAACAAGCGCUCCUGCUAAUAUGGGCCACCAACUUACAUGUAGAAGAAUAGCGGUAGCAUGUUUUCCUCAUAACGCGCUACAACUACGGUAUUAGUUGUAUCGCGGGAUAUGGGACAAGUGCCGUUAGUAUUUCCUAACCUGGGGCACCGUGUGGCCCACUUAGCAGUAGCGUUAACUAGUUCACCCGACACUACUGCUAUGACAACUCCCCGUACCGCUUGUUAGGACCCGCGCUAUUGGUACUUAACGAUAGUACCUGGUACCUAACAGAUGCUAGUGGUAAUAUUCUACCUAUAAGCUUUCGUAGUAGUGAUUCCCUAGUUUACACUUCCCUCACCAAGUGAAUUGGCCGCACUUCUUUAUGGUUUAGGCUGAUGAAACAACCAUGGCUUCAAAUGAUGACAAUUUUUGCAUCCGAACUCUGAGUUGAGUGAUCUUGGGCUUUUUAGGUAUCUUAUCUAGUGCAAUUUCCAAAAGAUUCCGCCAAGUCUUCAAAGUCCUUUCUAGCAUAACACAAUUGUCAAAACAAAGGAUGUGACAUAAAACCAAGUAAAAUGUGUCGUGCCACCUCCACUUGAGCCAAUGGGCCUUGCACUACCUAUUUACUUACGAGUGACCUUUGUCUACCUCUUGUUCUAUAUACAUAAUAUACCUUCGUAGCAAUUUAUUGGAUUUGUUUAGUUAUUUUCCCAUAGUUGUAACUCUACGUAGUUUGUUUGUAUUAAAGGACCAGGCUUAGGCGACUUUCAGACCCCUUUUCGUGAAACAUUCAUAUUGUUGGGGAACGUCGCAAGGGAAACAAAAAUUUUCCUACGCGCACGAAGACCUAUCAUGGUGAUGUCCAUCUACGAGAGGGGAUGUGUGAUCUACGUACCCUUGUAGACCGUACAGCAGAAGCGUUAGUGAACGCGGUUGAUGUAGUGGAACAUCCUCACGUCCCUCGAUCCGCCCCGCAAACCGUCCCGCGAUCAGUCCCACGAUCUAGUGCCGAACAGACGACACCUCCGCGUUCAGCACACGUACAGCUCGACGAUGAUCUCGGCCUUCNNNNNNNNNNGAGAGGUAGAAGAAUUCUCCGGCAGCGUGACGGUGCUCCGGAGGUUGGUGAUGAUCUUGUCUGAGCAGGGCUCCGGCCGAGCUCCGCAGAAACGCGAUCUAGAGGAAAAACCGUGGAGGUAUGUGGUCGGGCUGCCGUGGAAAAGUCGUCUCAAAUCAGCCCUAAAACCUCCGUAUAUAUAGGGGGAAGAGGGGGAGCCUUGCCUUGGGGUCCAAGGACCCCUAAGGGUUUUGGCCGAGCCAAGGGGGGAAGGUCUCCCCCCCAAACCGAGUCCAACUUGGUUUGGAAGGUGGACUCCUUCUUCCCUUUCCCACCUCCUCCUUUUUUUUUCUUUUCUCUUUGAUUUUCUUCCUAUGGCGCAUAGGGCCUUCUUGGGCUGUCCCACCAGCCCACUAAGGGCUGGUGUGCCACCCCCAAGGCCUAUGGGCUUCCCCGGGGUGGGUUGCCCCCCCGGUGAACUCCCGGAACCGAUUCGUCAUUCCCGGUACAUUCCCGGUAACUCCGAAACCCUUCCGGUAAUAAAAUGAGGUCAUCCUNNNNNNNNNNNNNNNNNNNNNNNNNNNNNNNNNNNNNNNNNNNNNNNNNNNNNNNNNNNNNNNNNNNNNNNNNNNNNNNNNNNNNNNNNNNNNNNNNNNNGGGGGCAACCCACCCCGGGGAAGCCCAUAGGCCUUGAGGGUGGCACACCAGCCCUUAGUGGGCUGGUGGGACAGCCCAAAAGGGCCCUAUGCGCCAAGAAGGCAAAAUCAAGAGAAAAGAAAAAAAAGGAGGAGGUGGGAAGGAAGGGAAGGACUCCCUCCCACCAAACCAAGUCGAACUCGGUUUGGGGGGGGGGGCAGUCCUCCCCCCUUGGACUCGGCCGACCCCCUUGGGGCUCCUUGAGCCCCAAGGCAAGGUCCCCUCCCUCCCACCUAUAUAUACGGAGGUUUUAGGGAUGAUUUGAGACGACUUUUCCACGGCAGCCCGACCACAUACCUCCACGGUUUCUCCUCUAGAUCGCGUUUCUGCGGAACUCGGGCGGAGCCUUGCUGAGACAAGGUCAUCACCAACCUCCGGAGUGCCGUCACGCUGCCAGAGAACUCUUCUACCUCUUCGUCUCUCUUGCUGGAUCAAGAAGGCCGAGAUCAUCGUCGAGCUGUACGUGUGCUGAACGCGGAGGUGCCGUCCGUUCGGUACUAGAUCGUGGGACUGAUCGCGGGAUUGUUCGCGGGGCGGAUCGAGGGACGUGAGGACGUUCCACUACAUCAACCGCGUUCACUAACGCUUGUGCUGUACGAUCUACAAGGGUACGUAGAUCACUCAUCCCCUCUCGUAGAUGGACAUCACCAUGAUAGGUCUUCGUGCGCGUAGGAAAUUUUUUGUUUCCCAUGCGACGUUCCCCAACANNNNNNNNNNNNNNNNNNNNNNNNNNNNNNNNNNNNNNNNNNNNNNNNNNNNNNNNNNNNNNNNNNNNNNNNNNNNNNNNNNNNNNNNNNNNNNNNNNNNUGGGGGCCGUAGUGUUUACUAGUGGCUUCUCUCAUGAAAGCAAGUAGACAGUGGGUGAACAAAUUACUGUUGAGCAAUUGAUAGAACUAUGCAGAGUCGUGACGAUAUCUACGCAAUGAUUAUUUCUAUAGGCAUCACGUCCGAAACAAGUAGACCGAUACUUUCUGCAUCUACUACUAUUACUCCACACGUCGACCGCUAUCCAGCAUGCAUCUAGUGUAUUAAGUCCAUAAGAACAGAGUAACGCCUUAAGCAAGAUGACAUGAUGUAGAGGGAUAAUCUCAAACCAAUGAUAAAAAACCCAUCUUUUUACCCUUGAUGGCAAUUGCUUGAUGUGUGCCUUGCUGCCCCUACUGUCACUUGGAAAGAUCACCACAUGGCAGAACCCAAAACCAAGCACUUCUCCCAUUGCAAGAAUCAUAGAUCUAGUUGGCCAAACAAAAUCCAAGACUCGGCGAGACUUACAAGGAUAUCAAAUCAUGCAUAUAAGAAAUCAGCAAAGACUCAAAUAUAUAUCAUAGAUAAUCUGAUCACAAGUCCACAAUUCAUUGGAUCUCGACAAACACACCGCCAAAGAAGAUUACAUCGGAUAGAUCUCCAUGAAGAUCAUGGAGAACUUUGUAUUGAAGAUCCAAGAGAGAGAAGAAACCAUCUAGCUACUAACUACGGACCCGUAGGUCUGAAGUGAACUACUCACGAGUCAUUGGAGGGGCGAUGAUGAUGAUGAAUAAGCCCUCCAACUCCAAAGUCCCCUCCGGCAGGGUGCCGGGAAGGGUCUCCAGAUGAGAUCUCGCGGAAACGGAAGCUUGCGGCGGCGGGAAAGUAUUUUCGAGGCUCCCCUGAUUUUUUUGCGGAAUAUUUGGUAAUUUACAGGCCAAAGACCUAGGUCAGGGGGCGGCCAGGGAGGCCACAAGCCUGCCCACCGCCGCCUCCCCCUGGUGGCGGAGUGGGGGNNNNNNNNNNNNNNNNNNNNNNNNNNNNNNNNNNNNNNNNNNNNNNNNNNNNNNNNNNNNNNNNNNNNNNNNNNNNNNNNNNNNNNNNNNNNNNNNNNNNUAACAUGAUUCUGACGGACUUAAGCAUCGCUACGGGUGAGAAUGUCUCAUCGUAGUCAACUCCUUGAACUUGUGAAAAACCCUUUGCCACAAGUCAUGCUUUAUAAACGGUCACAUUGCCGUCAGCGUCCGUCUUCCUCUUAAAGAUCCAUUUGUUCUGAAUAGCCUUGCGGCCCUCAGGUACUACCUCCAAAGUCCACACUUUGUUCUCAUACAUGGAUCCUAUCUCGGACUUCAUGGCUUCCAGCCAUUUGUUGGAAUCUGGGCCCACCAUUGCUUCUUCAUAAUUCGCAGGUUCAUUGUUGUCUAACAACAUGAUUGAUAAGACGGGAUUACCGUACCACUCUGGAGCAGCACGUGGUCUCGUCGACCUGCGUGGUUCGACAGAAACUUGAACCGGAGUUUCAUGAUCAUCAUCAUUAACUUCCUCCUCAACCGGCGUCGCAAUGACAGAGGUUUCCCCUUGCCCUGCGCCACCAUCCAGAGGGAUGAGAGGUUCGACAACCUCGUCAAGUUCUAUCUUCCUCCCACUCAAUUCUCUCGAGAGAAACUCCUUCUCGAGAAAAGCUCCGUUUUUAGCAACAAACACUUUGCCCUCGGAUUUGAGAUAGAAGGUGUACCCAACUGUCUCUUUUGGGUAACCUAUGAAGACGCACUUUUCCGCUUCGGGUUCCAGCUUUUCAGGCUGAAGCUUUUUGACAUAAGCAUCACAUCCCCGAACUUUAAGAAACGACAACUUUGGCCUUUUGCCAUACCACAGUUCGUAUGGUGUCGUCUCAACGGAUUUUGAUGGUGCCCUAUUUAAAGUGAAUGCAGCUGUUUCUAAUGCAUAACCCCAAAAUGAUAACGGCAAAUCAGUAAGAGACAUCAUAGAUCGCACCAUCUCUAACAAAGUACAGUGAAGGUGAGAAAAUAACGAUAUCCGCCGCGUGCCUCCACGCUCAUCGGACCACACACAUCGGUAUGUAUGAUUUCCAACAAGUCACUUGCACGCUCCAUUGUUCCUGAGAACGGAGUCUUAGUCAUCUUGCCCAUGAGGCAUGGUUCGCACGUGUCAAGUGAAUCAAAGUCAAGUGACUCCAAAAGUCCAUCAGCAUGGAGUUUCUUCAUGCGCUUUACACCAAUAUGACCUAAGCGACAGUGCCACAAAAAUAUGGCGCUAUCAUUGUUAACUCUAACUCUUGGUCUCAAUGUUAUGUAUAUGCGUAUCGCUAUCAAGAUUCAAUAUGAACAAUCCUCUCACAUUCGGUGCAUGACCAUAAAAGAUGUUACUCAUAGAAAUAGAACAACCAUUAUUCUCUGACUUAAAAGAGUAACCGUCUCGCAAUAAACAAGAUCCAGAUAUAAUGUUCAUGCUCAACGCAGGCACUAAAUAACAAUGAUUUAAGUUCAUCACUAAUCCUGACGGUAACUGAAGUGACACCGUGCCGACGGCGAUUGCAUCAACCUUGGAACCAUUUCCUACGCGCAUCGUCACUUCAUCUUUCGCCAGCCUUAGCCUAUUCCGCAGUUCCUGUUUCGAGUUGCAAAUAUGAGCAACAGAACCGGUAUCGAAUACCCAGGCACUACUACGAGAGCCGGUUAAGUACACAUCAAUAACAUGUAUAUCAAAUAUACCUGAUUUUUCUUUGCCCGCCUUCUUAUCCGCCAGAUACUUGGGGCAAUUGCGCUUCCAGUGACCCAUACCCUUGCAAUAGAAGCACUCUGUUUCAGGCUUAGGUCCAGCCUUGGGUUUCUUCGGCGGAUUGGCAACAGGCUUGCCGCUCUUCUUCGAAUUUCCCUUCUUGCCUUUGCCGUUUCUCUUGAAACUAGUGGUCUUAUUCACCAUCAACACUUGAUGCUCUUUACGGAUUUCUGACUCUGCGACUUUCAACAUCGCGAAUAACUCGCCGGGUGACUUGUUCAUCCCUUGCAUGUUAUAGUUCAACACAAAGCUCUUAUAGCUUGGUGGCAGUGAUUGAAGAAUUCUGUCAGUGAUAGCCUCUUGCGGGAGUUCAAUCCCCAUCUCAGCUAGACCGUUUGAGUACAUANNNNNNNNNNNNNNNNNNNNNNNNNNNNNNNNNNNNNNNNNNNNNNNNNNNNNNNNNNNNNNNNNNNNNNNNNNNNNNNNNNNNNNNNNNNNNNNNNNNNAUUGCCUCUAGGGUAUAUUUAUAAUUGUACACGAUUUUUUUAGACCCGCCAUAUUUUGUUAAUGUUAGGUGUUGAGACGUUCUAUCAUCCAUGCAUGUAGUGCAUGCGCAAUAUCCAUGGCACACAUCGCCUGAUACAUAUUUGUAACCAAGAUAAUCAUGCACCACCAUCAUCAUUGCGGCUCUCAUAUAGAAAUACUCUCCUUUGUUGGUGUCCCAUGUCUUCACCGUUGUUGUCCAUAACAUGUAUAGCUCCUCUUUCAGGAGCCCCAGAUACAUCUUCAUAUUAUUUCUUGGUUGUUUUGGCCCUUGACUCAGAAGGCUCAUGUGUAUUUAGUUUGUCCUCUUGCACAUCCAGGUGGGAGGUUUUACAUCCAUACAUACAUGGGCCAUGUGCUACGGUUGGUGUUUUGGGUGCCAAUCAUGAUGUUCCUUGGAUCACCUACAAAAUAUCAAUAUUAGGCAGUGAACGCUCUCCACUGGCUUGCAUCCGCGAGGUGUCUCAAUUUCGGAUCAUAUUCAUCAUCGGGCUUCACUCUCUUCGCGCACCAACGCAUGAGCUUUGCUUCCUUAGGAUCUACGAAAUAACGCUAAAGAAAGUAGUGAUCGGUAAGUACCAUACAACUUGUGGGGGUAAUUUUUGUCUAGCCUUCUUGUAUCGAGAAGCAUUGCACCCCUUGCAACUUGUUUUUUCCUCCAAUAAAUGAUGCAAUCAUUGAUGAAUGCGUGGUAUGUAAUGUGUGCUACCUCUUGAGCUUGCGUUGGUUUUUCCCUUGAAGAGGAAAGGGUGAUGCAGCAUGGUAGCAGUAAGUAUUUUCCUCAGUUUGAAAACCAAGGUAUCAAUCCAGUAGGAGUAUCAAGGCAAGUCUCCAAAGUAACUGCGCAAAAACAAGCAAACUUGCACCCAACGCUACAAAAGGGGUUGUCAAUCCCUUCAUGGUUAACUGCAAGGUGAGAUUUGAAGGUGGAAAGUCCAACAAAGUAAAAGUGUAAAGCUGAAAAUAUGAUGUGAAGUAGACCCGGGGGCCAUAGUGUUCACUAGAGGCUUCUCUCAUGAUAGAAAGUAUUACGGUGGGUGAACAAAUUAUUGUCGGGCAAUUGAUAGAACCGCGCAAAGUCAUGAUGAUAUCUAAGGCAAUGAUCAUACAUAUAGGCAUCACGUCCGAGACAAGUGGACCGAUACUUUCUGCAUCUACUACUAUUACUCCACACAUCGACCGCUAUCCAGCAUGCAUCUAGUGUAUUAAGUUCAUGACAAAUGGAGUAACACCUUAAGCAAGAUGACAUGAUGUAGAGAGAUAAAUUCAUGCAAUAGAUAUAAACCCCAUCCUUUGACCCUUGAUGGCAACAACACGAUACGUGCCUCGCUACCCCUUCUGUCNNNNNNNNNNNNNNNNNNNNNNNNNNNNNNNNNNNNNNNNNNNNNNNNNNNNNNNNNNNNNNNNNNNNNNNNNNNNNNNNNNNNNNNNNNNNNNNNNNNNAUCGUAGUCAACUCCUUGAACUUGUGAAAAACCCUUUGCCACAAGUCAUGCUUUAUAAACGGUCACAUUGCCGUCAGCGUCCAUCUUCCUCUUAAAGAUCCAUUUGUUUUGAAUAGCCUUACGGCCCUCAGGCAGUACUUCCAAAGUCCACACUUUGUUCUCAUACAUGGAUCCUAUCUCGGACUUCAUGGCUUCUAGCCAUUUGUUGGAAUCUGGGCCCACCAUUGCUUCUUCAUAAUUCGCAGGUUCAUUGUUGUCUAACAACAUGAUUGACAAGACGGGAUUACCGUACCACUCUGGAGCAGCACGUGGUCUCGUCGACCUGCGUGGUUCGGCAGAAACUUGAACUGGAGUUUCAUGAUCACCAUCAUUAACUUCCUCCUCAACCGGCGUCGCAAUGACAGAGGUUUCCCCUUGCCCUGCGCCACCAUCGAGAGGGAUGAGAGGUUCGACAACCUCAUCAAGUUCUAUCUUCCUCCCACUCAAUUCUCUCGAGAGAAACUCCUUCUCGAGAAAAGCUCUGUUUUUAGCAACAAACACUUUGCCCUCGGAUUUGAGAUAGAAGGUGUACCCAACUGUCUCUUUUGGGUAACCUAUGAAGACGCACUUUUCCGCUUUGGGUUCCAGCUUUUCAGGCUGAAGCUUUUUGACAUAAGCAUCACAUCCCCAAACUUUAAGAAACGACAACUUUGGCCUUUUGCCAUACCACAGUUCGUAUGGUGUCGUCUCAACGGAUUUUGAUGGUGCCCUAUUUAAAGUGAAUGCAGCUGUUUCUAAUGCAUAACCCCAAAAUGAUAACGGCAAAUCAGUAAGAGACAUCAUAGAUCGCACCNNNNNNNNNNNNNNNNNNNNNNNNNNNNNNNNNNNNNNNNNNNNNNNNNNNNNNNNNNNNNNNNNNNNNNNNNNNNNNNNNNNNNNNNNNNNNNNNNNNNAACAUGGGCAUAUUACCUAAGGCACUCGAGCAAUCCGGACCGCAAGAAAAAUAAAUACGGGACGUUGCCCUAUUGGGACAACACGCUAAACUAGGCAUUUGGCACGUAAAACUAUGUCAAAUAAUUAUGCAAGUCUUAUAAUUGGGUUCUACGCGAGAAACUACACGUGUUACAUCUAUAAUACUCUCCGAUCCGACACACGGAUUUAAAACUACACGCGUUUGAAAAUAUGCCCUUUUCUGAAAAAGAAUUAAAUAGCCAAAAUUAAUAAAAUCCUACGCGGGCCAGAUCUGGCUAUAGGGACGAAACUAAGCAUUGGCGCCACAUACUAAUACUACGCACAUGCGAACAAAAUAAAGGGGCGCAGCGGGGCUCNNNNNNNNNNNNNNNNNNNNGGGGCGCAGCGGGGCUCACCUUGGGGCCUUGGCGUGGCUGGAGGCCGAGCUGGCCGAAUGUGGCCUGGCUCGGGGGCGAGCUGGGCCGGCCUGGGCGGUGCGCGACAGGGGGGGCCGAACUGGGCCGAAGGAGGCCGGUUCGGGGUCGCGGCUGGAGCGGGCCCACCUGUUCGGCGCGGGGAUGGCGCGGUCAACGCGGGCGGUUCCCUCGUCUCCCUCCCGAGACACGCAGGAGCGGCGGCAGCGACUGGGGCGAACGCCGGUGAAGGGGCAGAGCCGGCACACGAGGAAGACUAGGUCCCGCGGCCAUGGGCGGAUCCGGGUGGGAAGGAUCCGUUCCGGGCGACGCAGCUCGAGGCGGCAUCGCAUGGCGGCGCGACGCGACAGGAAGGCUCNNNNNNNNNNNNNNNNNNNNNNNNNNNNNNNNNNNNNNNNNNNNNNNNNNNNNNNNNNNNNNNNNNNNNNNNNNNNNNNNNNNNNNNNNNNNNNNNNNNNCUUAAGGCGUUACUCUGUUCUUAUGGACUUAAUACACUAGAUGCAUGAUGGAUAGCGGUCGACGUGUGGAGUAAUAGUAGUACAUGCAGAAAGUAUCGGUCUACUUGUUUCGGACGUGAUGCAUAUAGAAAUAAUCGUUGCAUAGAUAUUGUCACGACUCUGCACAGUUCUAUCAAUUGCUCGACAGUAAUUUGUUCACCCGCCGUGUACUUGCUUUCAUGAGAGAAGCCACUAGUAAACACUACGGCCCCCGGGUCUAUUCACAUCCAUCGUUUACAUCUCCGCUUUUACGUUGCUUUGUUACUUUGUUGCUUUCAGUUCUCACUUGGCAAACAAUCUAUAAGGGAUUGACAAUCCCUUCAUAGCGUUGGGUGCAAGCUUUUGUGUUUGUGCAGGAUCUUGAGAUACUCUUCCGCCGGAUUGAUACCUUGGUUCUCAAACUGAGGGAAAUACUUACCGUCGCUGUGCUACAUCACCCUUUCCGCUUCGAGGGAACACCAACGCAAGGCUCCAAGGCCACAGGGGAAAUCCUUUGCAUACUUGCCUAUGAAGUCCCUUAAGGUGUAGCCGUAGCUGAAGGAUUCCUGGUGCCGUCGACACAACUAUUUCUGGCGCCAUUGCAAGGGAUACACAGCAAACAUCAGAAGUAUUUCUGCCGCCGUUGCCGGGGAGGAGAAAUCAAGAUCUAUCCAUGUGGAAUUGUUUCGCAGUUGACACCGCCUGGAACACCACAGCGUAAUGGUGUGUCCGAACAUCGUAAACGUACUUUAUUAGAGAUGGUGCCAUCUAUGAUGUCUCUUACCGAUUUGCCGUUAUCGUUUUGGGGUUUUGCAUUAGAGACAGCUGCAUUCACUUUAAAUAGGGCACCAUCAAAAUCCGUUGAUACGACACCAUACGAACUGUGGUAUGGCAAAAGACCAAAGUUGUCAUUUCUUAAAGUUUGGGGAUGUGAUGCUUAUGUCAAAAAGGUUCAGCCUAAAAAGCUGGAACCCAAAGCGGAAAAGUGCGUCUUCAUAGGUUACCCANNNNNNNNNNNNNNNNNNNNNNNNNNNNNNNNNNNNNNNNNNNNNNNNNNNNNNNNNNNNNNNNNNNNNNNNNNNNNNNNNNNNNNNNNNNNNNNNNNNNGAUCCGAUAUUAUUUAGAUUACUAAAAUAAUAUUAUAAAAGCUUUUAUAUUAGUUUAUGGAGGGAGUACUGGUAGAAACUAAGGUUCUACCGCCCCUUUGCCUUAGGUUAUAAGGGUAGGAGUGAGGUUGGGGGAGACGAGGGCGCCGCGACCGCGUGACGGCGCCGUCUCGGCGCAGGGAGGAGGCGGCGGCGAGUAGUAGAGGUGGCUAGGGUUAGGGCACCAGCCCCUAGUUGGAGCCGAUCAAAAUAGAUUGAUCUUUGCUUCCUCACAAAAGUGCUGAUUACAUGACUAUAUAUAAGUCCUCUAGGCUAUAAUAAACUGAACUAAACCCUUAAUAUUAUUAAAAUAACUGGAUCAGUUUGGCUAACUUGGCCUCUGGUCAUAACAGUACCGAAUAAACCAAAUAUUACAAAUCCAUGUUUAAUUAGUGCUAUACUUGACAGUUGAGUGGCAGUCAAGAUCGAAGAGGAAGACUGGCUACAAAACGUUGAUCGGGAGGCGGCUACAAAAGCUUGACAAUUCAUCAACUCUAGGACCCAGGCACACAGAGAAGAAAAGCACAUGCAUCCUGCAUGGGAGGGCGGACAAGCUUCUUUAACAAAGCUACGCUAAAUGUUAUGCUACUGUCAGCACGUCCUGCUGCAAUCGGGCGUCGCCACGUAUGGCGACAGACCUGCAUCAGGUACGUAAACUAUAUCCAGUUUACAAGUCCUAUGAACCUACUCAACUGAUGACCACCAAGUUAGUAAUCGACCACGAUCGAUCAGCAUGCUAACUGCUCCUAGGUAGCUCCACAUGGUCUGUACCUCAUCUCCCUAUUUAAGCAGGUAUUUUUAUCGUGGGCUGCGGAUGGGAAUCUUGCACAGUGUUGUCCAAUAGUUUGUGCUCAUACUCCAUCACCGAAUGAUGUUUAAGAAAAGCACGCAAUGUCGCAAUCCACAUCAUUUUAUUUUCCAAGGAUAGCGGUAUAUAUUUUACCACAUUAUUAACUGGGUAGAAAAGAAGUUAUCCCAGUGGACCUAAAGACUGAUUACUAUGCCACAGGAACUGGCAAGGAGACGUGUUUGAAUAGGAAACCAUAAUUUUCUCGCAAGAAAACAAAUAGAGAAUGCUACUAUUCAAGAGGUCACGCUCCGUGUUUCAUGUUGAUUGGCACUACUCCAAAAUGGACCAUACAAAAAAAAUGCGGGCAGUGUUUUUUAAGCCGACAUAAAAAACUCUACUUCCUACGUUCGGUAAAAAUGUAUAUAUAAAAAUUUAGUUAUAAAGUGAAAUAAAAAACACAUUAAAAAGGUGCAAGUCAUCAUCUCCCUGCUUUAAUUACCCAAAUCCAAUAAGCUAAGUGAAUGUAAAAAUUUAGGAGAUCAUGUAUAAAAUAUUAUUAAUUUUGAUUACCAUGUGAUGAAAGGAAAAACAUUUUCCUUUACUUUAAAAUGUAUAAAAAUAUAUAUAUAUUUUNNNNNNNNNNNNNNNNNNNNNNNNNNNNNNNNNNNNNNNNNNNNNNNNNNNNNNNNNNNNNNNNNNNNNNNNNNNNNNNNNNNNNNNNNNNNNNNNNNNNNNNNNNNNNNNNNNNNNNNNNNNNNNNNNNNNNNNNNNNNNNNNNNNNNNNNNNNNNNNNNNNNNNNNNNNNNNNNNNNNNNNNNNNNNNNNNNNNNNNNNNNNNNNNNNNNNNNNNNNNNNNNNNNNNNNNNNNNNNNNNNNNNNNNNNNNNNNNNNNNNNNNNNNNNNNNNNNNNNNNNNNNNNNNNNNNNNNNNNNNNNNNNNNNNNNNNNNNNNNNNNNNNNNNNNNNNNNNNNNNNNNNNNNNNNNNNNNNNNNNNNNNNNNNNNNNNNNNNNNNNNNNNNNNNNNNNNNNNNNNNNNNNNNNNNNNNNNNNNNNNNNNNNNNNNNNNNNNNNNNNNNNNNNNNNNNNNNNNNNNNNNNNNNNNNNNNNNNNNNNNNNNNNNNNNNNNNNNNNNNNNNNNNNNNNNNNNNNNNNNNNNNNNNNNNNNNNNNNNNNNNNNNNNNNNNNNNNNNNNNNNNNNNNNNNNNNNNNNNNNNNNNNNNNNNNNNNNNNNNNNNNNNNNNNNNNNNNNNNNNNNNNNNNNNNNNNNNNNNNNNNNNNNNNNNNNNNNNNNNNNNNNNNNNNNNNNNNNNNNNNNNNNNNNNNNNNNNNNNNNNNNUUAUAUAUAUACUCAUAUCAGAAGGCACACAAAAAAAAGGCACCAGCAGUACAUCACGGGAUUAUUAUAAUAUUAUCCUACCAGCAAAAUCCAAAAGUCUACUACUAGCAGUAGUACCGUAAACUCGAGGUCCGGACGCGCAGCACGUGGUCUUCCCCCGCGACCCACGCGCAGGGAAUCCCGCGGGCCCACGGCGCCAGCGACGGCCCGCNNNNNNNNNNNNNNNNNNNNNNNNNNNNNNNNNNNNNNNNNNNNNNNNNNUUCGGCUCGUGUGGCCGAGCCAGGGGCUGCACCUGUCGCCACUGCAGCCCCUGUGCGCGGCCACCCGUCUCGCCGACGCGCGGGGCAGGGGCUGGGGUUUGACCGGGCUGUCAGUGGCAGUGCGCGGCGCGGGACGCCUCGUGGAGCGGGACGCGCUCGUGCCCGACCACGUGGGCUGGAGCGGCGCGAGAGGAGGGCGCCCCGAUCCGGUCGCCGCGGUGGCCCACCGCCGUGCUCGCCACACCUUUCUUUCCUUCUCUUCCGCUCGACUGAUUUAAUCACUUUUGUUUAUUUAAUAAAAAUAAUUAGUUUGUUUAAUUUAAUUGAAUUUAAUCAUCGUCUUCUCCCACCCGAUCUAACCUCCUGGCCCGAAAAUAAACAUAAUCGAUUAGUGGCGCCCCAGGCGCGCGCACGCACGCACAGGCCUGGGCUAGGAGUACUGGAGCAGUAUACAUACGCGAGNNNNNNNNNNNNNNNNNNNNNNNNNNNNNNNNNNNNNNNNNNNNNNNNNNNNNNNNNNNNNNNNNNNNNNNNNNNNNNNNNNNNNNNNNNNNNNNNNNNNNNNNNNNNNNNNNNNNNNNNNNNNNNNNNNNNNNNNNNNNNNNNNNNNNNNNNNNNNNNNNNNNNNNNNNNNNNNNNNNNNNNNNNNNNNNNNNNNNNNNNNNNNNNNNNNNNNNNNNNNNNNNNNNNNNNNNNNCCCAUGUUCUUCUUUUCUUUUCGAAAAAAAAAGAGAGAGAGCGCGUUAGGUAUGCUCUGCCGAAUUCCUUUCGGCGGCUCGGAUGGCGAGGGCUAGCGCAUCGGGGAAGCGACGGUUCUGUUCCAGGGACGGAGGGACACGCCAAAUCAUUCCGGCGCCGGCGCAUGUGGCUUUGCUGAUUUCGAUUAGCCCUCCGUCUCGCCGCUGGGAUGGGGAUGUUUAACGGAUCAUGUGCUUCCUUGGCUUGCUCCAUGCGUGUGCGUCCGUCCGUCCGUCCUCCUAUAUGUACGCCGUCGUCCGACCCUAACUGUGAAUUGUCUCCGUUUCUGUCUGUGUGUGCAGCUUACUUUGGGGGAGGAGGAGUGCCGCCCAUGGACUGGUCCUUCGCUGGCAGGGCCGGGGCCGCGCCGGCGGUCAUGUCUUUCAGGUCGGCGGCGAGGGAAGAGCAGCAGCAGCAGCAGGGCGAGCUCGCCUUCUCCAAGCAGCAGGCCUCGCGUGUCCUCACUCCACAGGUAGCUCUAGUUUCUGCUGCUGCCCUUGAUUUAUGCGUGAUUCGUGUUUUGCCGGACAGUUUUCCUAAUUCUUGUGUGCUGGUAAUGGUAUGUUGUGCAGAGAUCGUUUGGCGCUGAGAACCAUGGCAGCGUGCAGUACGCCGCCGCCGCGCGUGCGGCUUACGGUGGGCAGCCUCCACAGCAGCAGCAUGCUCCUAAUGGUGCUAGGGUGAUCCCAAUGUCCUCGCCGUUCAACCCCAACAAUCCCAUGUUCAGGGUUCAGAGUUCGCCUAACCUCCCCAAUGGCGUUGCUGCUGGGAGCCCGUUCAAACAGCCGCCUUUCGCGAUGAACAAUGCGGUCGCUGCUUCCACCGUUGGUGUGUACAAAUCAAGGUAGAUAAUUUGGCCCUGUUUGAUUUUCAAAAAUAUCUGUAAAAUCCAACUUUCAAACUGAACUGUAACCUGUCUUAUUUGUAAAGGGACAUGCCGAAGCCAAAGACAGCGCAAUUAACCAUCUUCUACGCUGGUUCUGUCAAUGUAUUCAACAACGUCUCAGCAGAAAAGGUACAGUACUAUUUUCUUCCUAUUGGUAAUGCAGUUUUCAUUUCAUUUAGGUUCGCUGGCUAAGCUGAAUAUUUUUUCCUCGUCGUUACAGGCUCAGGAACUCAUGUUCUUAGCUAGCAGAGGAUCUCUUCCAGCUGCACCCAGUACUGUUACUCGCAGCCCAGAUGCAACCUUUUUCACUCCGGCAAAACUCGCAGCACCUGAGCUUUCACCUGCAAAGCAGAUGCUACCUCAGAUGCCACAACGUGUUUCGCCUCCUUUGUCAGGCAUUUCCAAACCGAUCUCCAUGGUGUCCCAAGCUGCAUGCGUCCCCAAGAGCGCCUCUAGCUCCAACAUUGACUCGACAGCGCCAAAAUCUUCAGGCCAGUUGGUUGUGCCUCCCACGAGUCAGCCUUCGUCGUCCACUCAUCCUGUGACACUAGCCUCCACCACUGCUGCAAGUAUUAUGCCAAGAGGUAUGGAUGCUUACGCGUGCAUCUUGUGCUGUUUGAUGAUGUUUAGUAUAUCUUGAAUUGAUACGCAUAUGCUGGAUGAUGUGUUGACGUCGUUAUUUUCCGUUUCAGCUGUUCCUCAAGCCCGGAAGGCGUCCCUUGCCCGAUUCUUGGAGAAAAGGAAAGAAAGGUACUACAACCUUCAGAAUUUAGUCCUGCUAUACGAGUAUUACAGAACAUUUACUAGUGAACUUAGCUACAUACCAUAUCCUGUAUUUGUGGUCAUAGGCUGAUAUUCAUCAUGCCUUCGUGCUUAUCUCUGUGCAGAGUGACAACUACGGCGCCGUAUCCAUCAGCCAAGAGCCCGAUGGAGAGCAGCGACACGGUCGGAAGCGCCAACGACAACAACAGCAAGUCCUCAUCAUGCACAGAGAUCGCCUUCUCAAGCAACCAUGAGGAGUCGCUGCGUCUAGGCGGCCGGCCCAGGAACAUCAGCUUUAGCGGGGAGUCCCCGAGUACAAAACUACACAUCUGAUCCGAUAUAAUAAUCUUCCGGUGUCCAUAGGUUCAAAUUCAACCAUGAUGGCUGAUGCAAAACCGUAAUAAGAUUUUGCAUCCAGGCAGGAGGAGGGAGAAGGGAUAUUGGGAAAAGUCAGGCAGCAUGAUAUAUGUUACUCCUAUUGAUGAUGCUCUUAUUCUUGUUUAUGAUGUGUUUUGUUUUGGUUAAUUAGUCCGCGACCUGUAAUGCUGGUCUAGCUGGUGCAACACCCCACCUAACUAACAAGAGAGCUGUCGCUUGCAGACUCUUGAUUGUUAUUUUUUGUUUUGCCCCUGCGCCCAUUGUAUUGCAGAAAGAAACAUGUUAAUUUAGCAGUAUGAAAUUAUAGGCUUACAAAUUUCCACCAUCGGCCGCAGAGCUGUUUUGUUCUUGUUCUUUUGUUUUUACCAACUUCUACAGGCUUGCGGGAUACAAGAGCUUCAUAAUGUUGGAUGCUUGAGCUCUUGCGAUUAAGUGGCGCGAUUUCGGUACAUAGGGAUAUGAACAGUAACUUUGAAUAAAAUAGUAAAAGAAAUCAAACAAAUCUNNNNNNNNNNNNNNNNNNNNNNNNNNNNNNNNNNNNNNNNNNNNNNNNNNNNNNNNNNNNNNNNNNNNNNNNNNNNNNNNNNNNNNNNNNNNNNNNNNNNUCGAUUAUGGAGGUGGCUAAAGAGUUCGUCGUAAAGGGUAACGUCGAUGCAAGCUUUGACACUAAUCUGAAUAACUAUGAGUAGUGAAACGGAUUCAUAUAGUAGAGUGGAUAUUUGGAGCAUUUCUGAAUAGCACAUAGUAGCAGCAUCUAUAAGAUGACAUAAAGAUUUGUAAAGAACGCACGGAUCUGAAAGUUUCAGAACCGUUGACUAAAACCUCUCUCACAAGCAAGACAUGAUCAGACCCCAUAACUAUAUGGGUGUUGGAUUCGUUGGAAUCACAUGGUGAUGUGAACUAGAUUAUUGACUCUAGUGCAAGUGGGAGACUGUUGGAAAUAUGCCCUAGAGGCAAUAAUAAAUUAGUUAUUAUUAUAUUUCUUAGUUCAUGAUAAUCGUUUAUUAUCCAUGCUAUAAUUGUAUUGAUUGGAAACACAAUACUUGUGUGGAUACAUAGACAAAACACCGUCCCUAGUAAGCCUCUAGUUGACUAGCUCGUUGAUCAAAGAUGGCCAAGGUUUCCUGGCCAUAGGCAAGUGUUGUUACUUGAUAACGGGAUCACAUCAUUAGGAGAAUCAUGUGAUGGACUAGACCCAAACUAAUAGACGUAGCAUGUUGAUCGUGUCAUUUUGUUGCUAAUGUUUUCUGCGUGUCAAGUAUUUAUUCCUAUGACCAUGAGAUCAUAUAACUCACUGACACCGGAGGAAUGCUUUGUGUGUAUCAAACGUCGCAACGUAACUGGGUGACUAUAAAGAUGCUCUACAGGUAUCUCCGAAGGUGUUAGUUGAGUUAGUAUGGAUCAAGACUGGGAUUUGUCACUCCGUGUGAACGGAGAGGUAUCUCGGGGCCCACUCGGUAAUACAACAUCACACACAAGCCUUGCAAGCAAUGUAACUUAGUGUAAGUUGCGGGAUCUUGUAUUACGGAACGAGUAAAGAGACUUGCCGGUAAACGAGAUUGAAAUAGGUAUGCGGAUACUAACGAUCGAAUCUCGGGCAAGUAACAUACCGAAGGACAAAGGGAAUGACAUACGGGAUUAUAUGAAUCCUUGGCACUGAGGUUCAAACGAUAAGAUCUUCGUAGAAUAUGUAGGAUCCAAUAUGGGCAUCCAGGUCCCGCUAUUGGAUAUUGACCGAGGAGUCUCUCGGGUCAUGUCUACAUAGUUCUCGAACCCGCAGGGUCUGCACACUUAAGGUUCGACGUUGUUUUAUGCGUAUUUGAGUUAUAUGGUUGGUUACCGAAUGUUGUUCGGAGUCCCGGAUGAGAUCACGGACGUCACGAGGGUUUCCGGACGCAAGGCUCCCCCUCUUCCCCCUAUAUAUACGGAGGUUUUAGGGCUGAUUUGAGACGACUUUUCCACGGCAGCCCGACCACAUACCUCCACGGUUUUUCCUCUAGAUCGCGUUUCUGCGGAACUCGGGCGGAGCCCUGCUGAGACAAGAUCAUCACCAACCUCCGGAGCGCCGUCACGCUGCCGGAGAACUCUUCUACCUCUCCGUCUCUCUUGCUGGAUCAAGAAGGCCGAGAUCAUCGUCGAGCUGUACGUGUGCUGAACGCGGAGGUGCCGUCCGUUCGGUACUAGAUCGUGGGACUGAUCGCGGGAUUGUUCGCGGGGCGGAUCGAGGGACGUGAGGACGUUCCACUACAUCAACCGCGUUCUCUAACGCUUCUGCUGUACGGUCUACAAGGGUACGUAGAUCACUCAUCCCCUCUCGUAGAUGGACAUCACCAUGAUAGGUCUUCGUGCGCGUAGGAAAUUUUUUGUUUCCCAUGCGACGUUCCCCAACAGGUAUGUCCGAACAUCACAAACUACAAGGGGGAUCUUAGCUAGUCCCCGCGGUCAAGCUCCUAUGGUUAAGUGAAAGAAUUAAAGCCACAUAGUCUGAUUGCCUUGUUUCCUUCCACACUACCGCCUCCGGGCACCAAUACGUUGGCUAAGGGUAAUAGCACAGAAGCCAUAAACACCCCUGAUAGGAUCUACCAGGGGCUGAAGCCGACGAAUGGAAACUUUCAAGUUAAAACGGCUACACAUAAGUCAAAAUUAAGCAAAGUAAGACAUGGUAUACCAUGCAAAGCAAAAAACAUUGUAUUGCGUAGAGGUUCAACCAUUCAUACAAGAUAGUAUUUUCGUUCAAUGAUUACAUCCUUGGAGCACUAGGCUUCUAUCACUCGAGCACCCUCCAUGACGUUGGGGAAAUACAGCUCGGGGCGCUUAUGCUCCUUUCCAGGCGACGGAGGUGUGGUGGCCAUCUCGAUGGGAUUCAACCUCGACCAGUGCAUCAUGGUCCUAGCGAAUGCCAUCCGAGCUCCCUCCAUGCACAGGAAGCACUUCAGGAUGUCAAUCUAGGGAGCAACGGCGACCAGUUUCUGCACCACACCAAAGUAGCUACUCGACAACAGAUCUGUAGGCCAUAGCCUGAUGCAAAGAUCCUUCAUGGCUCGCUCUGCCAUCCAAUGCAACUCCAUAAGCUGUUUCAGUUGAUCGGAGACAAGAAGAGGUUGCUCUAGGGCUUUGAAUUGCGCCCACAACAACCUUUGCUCGGUAUCCCCCUCCUAGGACGCAUAAUUCCUUGAGGCAUCGACUGCACUCUUUGAUAGGUCCGCAAACACGCGUGGAGAAUGCCAUGCUCGGGUAAGCAAUGCAAUUUUUUCCCGCCAAAGACACACCGCAGUAAGUAUCUCUUACCAUCUGCAAUUUGCUUGAUUUAGUGGAUCUCCUUCUCAUGGCUAUGUGCCUCCUUCCGCGCCUCGUGAAGCACUACGGUUGCACAGGACAGCUCGAAAGCUUAUUCCUUAUUUUUUUUUGCUCAAGGAACUCACAUUUAGUGAUGGCAUCUUUGAUCUCUUGCUGCACUUCCGUGAACCUGGCCUCGUGCUUGUCACUGGCAGACCUUGCCGACAACAGUUCGGCUACCACCUUCUGUUCGACAUCCUCUUGCCUUGCUCUGUUCAACUCGGCCUUGAGCUUCUCAACAUCCGUGGCAGCAGCUACAGUUCUCAUGCAAACAAUUCGCACUUAGGGAUACAAAUAAAAAUACCUCACUCUAAUGAUAAAAUUAAUGUUAAUAGUCCAGUUCGGACUUACCUUGUGCGUCAUCAAACCGCUAACAAGGCCGAGUUCUUCCUCGGAGCUCUUAAGCUUCCGAUUCAUUUCCACCAACUCCACGGAGUUGGGGCUGCUGCGGAAUAUGAGGCCUUCAUAAAUGUGUGUCACACUGAUACGUCUCCAACGUAUCUAUAAUUUUUGAUGGUUUCAUGCUAUUAUAUUGUCAAACUUUGGAUGUUUUGUAUGCCUUUUAUAUCUUUUUGGGACUAACUUAUUAACUCAGUGCCAAGUGCCAGUUCCUAUUUUUUCCGUGUUUUUGACCCUUUUCACAGGAGGAUUUUAAACGGAGUCCAAACGGAACGAAACUUCCAAAAAGAUUUUUUCUGAAACAGAAGAAGAUCGGGGAGCCUGAGAACCAGGGCACGGGGCCACUAGGGACCCGACAAGCCCCCUAGCCGCAGCCAGGGGGGCCCCGCGCCUCCUAGGCUUGUGGGCUCCCUGGGCCACCUCUGCCCUAGGUAUUUCGCCUAUAUAUUCCGAAAAAUUCCAGAAAAAAUCAAGAGAUCAUUGAAAGUACUUUUCCACCAUCGCAAGCUACUGUCUCGGCAAGAUCCCAUCCGGGGCACGUUCUGGUGCCCUGCCGGAGGGGGAUUCGGAUACGGAGGGCUUCUUCAUCAACACCAUGACCUCUCCGAUGAUGCGUGAGUAGUUCACCAUAGACCUACGAGUCCAUAGCUAGUAGCUAGAUGGCUUCUUCUCUCUCUUGGAUCUUCAAUACAAAGUUCUCCAUGAUCUUUAUGGAGAUCUAUCCGAUGUAAUCUUCUUUUGCGGUGUGUUUGUCGAGAUCCGAUGAAUUGUGGAUUUAUGAUCAGAUUAUCUAUGAAUCUUAUUUGAGUUUCUUCUGAUCUCUUAUAUGCAUGAUUUCGUAUCCUUGUAAUUCUCUUCGAGUUGUGGGUUUUGUCUAGCCAGCUUGAUCUAUGAUUCUUGCAAUGGGAUAAGUGCUUGGUUUUGGGUUCAUACCGUGUGGUGACCUCAUCCAGUGACAGAAGGGGUAGCGAGGCACGCAUCGUGUUGUUGCUAUCAAGGGUAAAAAGAUGGGGUUUUCAUCAUUGGUUUGAGAUUAUCCCUCUACAUCAUGUCAUCUUGCUUAAAGCGUUACUCUGUUUGUCAUGAACUCAAUACAUUAGAUGCAUGCUGGAUAGCGGUCGAUGUGUGGAGUAAUAGUAGUAGAUGCAGAAAGUAUCGGUCUACUUGUCUCGGACGUGAUGCCUAUAUGUAUGAUCAUUGCCUUAGAUAUCGUCAUGACUUUGCGCGGUUCUAUCAAUUGCUCGACAGUAAUUUGUUUACCCACCGUAAUAUUUGCUAUUUUGAGAGAAGCCUCUAGUGAACACUAUGGCCCCCGAGUCUACUCCACACCAUAUUUUCAGCCUUACUCUUUUACUUCGUUGCACUUUUCGCCUUCAGAUCUCACUUUGCAAUCAAUCUUGAAGGGAUUGACAACCCCUUUAUAGCGUUGGGUGCAAGCUUGUUUGUGUUUGCGCAGGUACUCUGGAUUUGACAAGAUUCUCCUACUGGAUUGAUACCUUGGUUCUCAAACUGAGGGAAAUACUUACCGUCGCUGUGCUACAUCACGCUUUCCNNNNNNNNNNNNNNNNNNNNNNNNNNNNNNNNNNNNNNNNNNNNNNNNNNNNNNNNNNNNNNNNNNNNNNNNNNNNNNNNNNNNNNNNNNNNNNNNNNNNNNNNNNNNNNNNNNNNNNNNNNNNNNNNNNNNNNNNNNNNNNNNNNNNNNNNNNNNNNNNNNNNNNNNNNNNNNNNNNNNNNNNNNNNNNNNNNNNNNNNNNNNNNNNNNNNNNNNNNNNNNNNNNNNNNNNNNNNNNNNNNNNNNNNNNNNNNNNNNNNNNNNNNNNNNNNNNNNNNNNNNNNNNNNNNNNNNNNNNNNNNNNNNNNNNNNNNNNNNNNNNNNNNNNNNNNNNNNNNNNNNNNNNNNNNNNNNNNNNNNNNNNNNNNNNNNNNNNNNNNNNNNNNNNNNNNNNNNNNNNNNNNNNNNNNNNNNNNNNNNNNNNNNNNNNNNNNNNNNNNNNNNNNNNNNNNNNNNNNNNNNNNNNNNNNNNNNNNNNNNNNNNNNNNNNNNNNNNNNNNNNNNNNNNNNNNNNNNNNNNNNNNNNNNNNNNNNNNNNNNNNNNNNNNNNNNNNNNNNNNNNNNNNNNNNNNNNNNNNNNNNNNNNNNNNNNNNNNNNNNNNNNNNNNNNNNNNNNNNNNNNNNNNNNNNNNNNNNNNNNNNNNNNNNNNNNNNNNNNNNNNNNNNNNNNNNNNNNNNNNNNNNNNNNNNNNNNNNNNNNNNNNNNNNNNNNNNNNNNNNNNNNNNNNNNNNNNNNNNNNNNNNNNNNNNNNNNNNNNNNNNNNNNNNNNNNNNNNNNNNNNNNNNNNNNNNNNNNNNNNNNNNNNNNNNNNNNNNNNNNNNNNNNNNNNNNNNNNNNNNNNNNNNNNNNNNNNNNNNNNNNNNNNNNNNNNNNNNNNNNNNNNNNNNNNNNNNNNNNNNNNNNNNNNNNNNNNNNNNNNNNNNNNNNNNNNNNNNNNNNNNNNNNNNNNNNNNNNNNNNNNNNNNNNNNNNNNNNNNNNNNNNNNNNNNNNNNNNNNNNNNNNNNNNNNNNNNNNNNNNNNNNNNNNNNNNNNNNNNNNNNNNNNNNNNNNNNNNNNNNNNNNNNNNNNNNNNNNNNNNNNNNNNNNNNNNNNNNNNNNNNNNNNNNNNNNNNNNNNNNNNNNNNNNNNNNNNNNNNNNNNNNNNNNNNNNCUUUUUCCUAGGCAGUCGUAAUUUGUCAGAAUUUUUGAGGUACCAUAAGUAUACGAAGUAUACAGAUUGCUACAGACUGGUCUGUUUUUGACAGAUUCUGUUUUUGUUGUGUUGAUUGCUUAUUUUGAUGAAAUUAUGGAUAAUAUCAGGAGGUACAAGCCAUGGAAAAGUGAGAAUACAGUAAUAUAACACCAAUAUAAAUAGAAAUCUAGUUUGUUUAAGUACUUAAAGAGGUGGUGGUUUGUUUUCUUAUGCUAACGAUAUCACGAGUUUCUGUUUAAGUUUUGUGUUGUGAAGUUUUCAAGUUUUGGGUGAUGUUCUCAUGGUCAAUGGGAUAAAGAGUGGAAAGAGAUCAAGCUUGGGGAUGCCCAAGGCAUCCCAAGCCAAAUUCAAGGACACCAAAAAGCCUAAGCUUGGGGAUGCCCCGGGAAGGCAUCCCCUCUUUCGUCUUCAAUCCAUCGGUAACAUUACUUGGAGCUAUAUUUUUAUUCACCACAUGAUAUGUGUCUUGCUUGGAGCGUCUUGUAUUGUAGGAGUCUUUUCUUUUUGUUGUUUCACAAUCAUCCUUGCUGCACACUUUUUUGAGAGAGAGAGACAUGCACUCAUCGUGAUUUUGCUAGAAUGCUCAUUGUGCUUCACUUAUAUCUUUUGAGCUAGAUAAUUUUGCUCUAUGUGCUUCACUUAGAUCUUUUAGAGCACGGCGGUGCGUGACUUGGUAGUUGGCUUAUGCUAUGAAAGUAGUCCCAAAGGUGAUAGGUACCCAAAGAGGAUACAAAAAAACUUCCAUCUUCAUGUGCAUUGAGUAGAAAGAGAAGUCUUGAUUCCUCUCAAUUAGUUUUGAGAUGUGGAUUUGGUAAUAUUAAGAGUUAUGUUAGUAGGGUGUUGUGAAUCUAGAAAUACUUGUGUUGAAGUUAGUGAUUCCCGUAGCAUGCACGUAUGGUGAACCGCUAUGUUAGGAAGUCGGAGCAUAAUUGAUCUAUUGAUUGUCAUCCCUUGUGUUGAGGUCGGGAUCGCGCGAUGGUUAAAACCUACCAACCCUUCCCCUAGGAGUAUGCGUUUAGCACUUUGUUUCGAUUACUAAUAAAAACUUUCGCGACAAGUAUGUGAGUUCUUCAUGAUUAAUGCGAGUCCAUGAUAUAGAUGCACUUUCACCUUCCACCGUUGCUAGCCUCUCUAGUGCCGCACAACUUUCGCCGGUGCACAAACCCACCAUAUGCCUUCCUCAAAACAGCCACCAUACCUACCUACUAUGGCAUUUUCAUAGCCAUUCCAAGAUAUAUUGCCGUGCAAAUCCCACCGUUCCGUCUCAUGACUUGUGCCGUCACUCUCAUAUUGCCUUUGCAUGAUCGUAAGAUAACUAGCGAGAUGUUUCAACGUCAUACGCCAAGCUAGAUCGUUGCACAUCCCGGAGGCAUUUCCUAUAGAGUCAUCAUCGUUCUAAACUUUGAGCUGUGAGUAAAUAAAAGUGUGACGAUCAUCAUUAUUAGAGCAUUGUCCCUUGUGAGGAAACAAAGAGAGGCCAAAGAGCCCAAAUAAAAAAAAGAAAAAAGAGGCCCAAGUGCCCAAAUAAAAAAAAGAGAAAAAGAGAGAAGGGACAAUGCUAACAUCUUUUUCCACACUUGUGCUUCAUAAUAGCACCAUGUUCUUCAUGAUUGAGAGCUUUUUACUUUGUCACUACCAUAUGCUAGUGGCAAUCUUCAUUAUAUAACUUGGCUUGUAUAUUCCAAUGAUGGGCUUUCUCAAAUUGCCCUAGGUCUUCGUGAGCAAGCAAGAUGGAUGUACACCCACUAGUUCUCCUUUUAAGCUUUCACAUACUUAUAGCUCUAGUGCGUCCUUUGUAUGACAAUCCCUACUCAUUCACAAUGAUAUCUAUCAAUGGGCAUCUCUAUAGCCCUUUGAGACGCCGAGUCAAUGUGAGCAUCCCUUCUUUUUUGGCUCACAACCACCACCACACUCUAUUCCACCUAUAGUGUUAUAUCCAUGGCUCACGCUCAUGUAUUGCGUGAUAGUUAUAAAAAGUUUGAGAAAGUAAGAGUGCGAAAACAAUUACUUGGACAAUACCGGGGUUCUGCAUGAUUUAAAUUAGUUGUGUGAGGAUGAUGGAGCAUAGCCAGACUAUAUGAUUUUGUAGAGAUAACUUUCCUUGGCCUUGUUAUUUUGAAAGUUCAUGAUUACCUUGCUAGUUUUCUUGAAGUAUUAUUGUUUUCAUGUCAAUAGAAAACUAUUGUUUUGAAUCUUACGGAUCUGAACAUUCAUGUCACAUGAAAUAAGUUACAAAGGACAACUAUGCUAGGUAGCAUUCCACAUCAAAAAUUCAGUCUUUAUCACUUCCCUACUCGAGGACGAGCAUGAGUUAAGCUUGGGGGUGCUUGAUACGUCUCCAACGUAUCAAUAAUUUUUGAUGGUUUCAUGCUAUUAUCUUGUCAAACUUUGGAUGUUCUGUAUGCCUUUUAUAUCUUUUUUGGGACUAACUUAUUAACUCAGUGCCAAGUGCCAGUUCCUGUUUUUUCCGUGUUUUUGACCCUUUUCAGAGGAGGAUUUUUAACGGAGUCCAAACGGAACGAAACUUCCAAAAAGAUUUUUUUCCGAAACAAAAGAAGAUCGGGGAGCCUGAGAACCAGGGCAGGGGGCCACCAGGGACCCCACAAGCCCCCUAGCCGCGGACAGGGGGGCCCGCGCCUCCCAGGCUUGUGGGCUCCCUGGCCACCUCUGCCCUAGGUCUUUCGCCUAUAUAUUCCCAAAAAUUCCACAAAACAUCAGGAGAUCAUCGAAAGUACUUUUCCGCCAUCACAAGCUUCUGUCUCCGUAGGAUCCCAUCCGAGGCACGUUCUGGUGCCCUACCGGAGGGGGAUACGGAUACAGAGGGCUUCUUCAUCAACACCAUGACCUCUCCGAUGAUGCGUGAGUAGUUCACCAUAGACCUACGAGUCCAUAGCUAGUAGCUAGAUGGCUUCUUCUCUCUCUUGGAUCUUCAAUACAAAGUUCUCCAUGAUCUUCAUGGAGAUCUAUCCAAUGUAAUCUUCUUUUGCGGUGUGUUUGUCGAGAUCCGAUGAAUUGUGGAUUUAUGAUCAGAUUAUCUAUGAAUCUUAUUUGAGUUUCUUCUGAUCUCUUAUAUGCAUGAUUUCAUAUCCUUGUAAUUCUCUUCGAGUUGUGGGUUUUGUUUGGCCAACUUCAUNNNNNNNNNNNNNNNNNNNNNNNNNNNNNNNNNNNNNNNNNNNNNNNNNNNNNNNNNNNNNNNNNNNNNNNNNNNNNNNNNNNNNNNNNNNNNNNNNNNNCAGGAUGACACUAGUUCGACACUUUAAGGGCAAAAGUGCUAUAGUGAGCGCGAGCUCACAUGAGCUUGAAUGGAAAACUGUAUAAAUAGUAAACAAAUACAAACACUUAUUAUUUUUUACCACAAACAUUGAUACUUUUGUACAUCCAAGCAAAAUUUCACAAUUGAAUCACAUUUGUGCAGGUAUGGACAAAAACAAAACAAAAUCGAUGCUUCAAAAUUCGUCGUUUUUUUGCCCACACCACCACAAAUGCGAUUCCAUCUUGAAAUUUUUCAAGCAUGUAGAAAAAACAUCAAUAUUUCUUGCAAAAAAAUGUUUUUGAAUUUAUUUACUGUUCAUUUAAGCUCCUAUGAGCUCGAGUUUACAUAAUCCACGUCCCUUCCCCCGCAAGGGGGGGGGGGGGGGGAUAAAGGCGAUAUUCGGCCAGCCCAAGCCAAGGGCUAGGAGAGAUGUGGAAUCUAACCUUAAUCUGUUUUGUAUUGUACGUCGAAAAUACACAAAUCUGAUCGAGAACUAUAAACUGUGCGUAGCCAUAAGCAUUGACUAUGGACAAAAUUAUGAAGUGUCCUCUAAUAUAUAUUUAGUCCAUGGCCCUCAUGUGUUAUCACAGUGAUUUCAUAAUCCUGAAAUCAUCACUUGAAGAUCCAUAUUUGUUCCUUCUAUGCCAGCUGCCUUCUUCGUGCUUAUCAUAUUCCAGGAUAAAUCAUGUUUGUUCAUGCUAGGUUCUUCAUUCAGAAGUAACGCGGAUAUAUCUUAUUUAGAAAAUAUCAUACUCUCUUAAGUACGUGGAAGCGUCCGUGGAAGCGUUCCUAGAAACGGAACUACCUGACAUUUGAGUUGGCGUGUGCGACCUUUCACUACUAGAAAAAAAAUCUAUAGAUGGAGUUUUAGCUGUAGUGAGGGGUAUAAACCCGCGUUACUACAAAUUAGUAGUGGCAAUGGGGGUAUAAAACCGCGCUACUACUCGUGGUAGAAACCCACGCUACUACUAAGUGAUGUCCAUCGCGCCCCUCGGGACAUGCCGUAGUAGUAGCAUGGGGUAUAAGUCCCACGCUACUACUAAGUUGAUAGUAGUAGCGAGGGUUAUAAACCCACGCUAUUAUUAAGUGGUCUCCAUCGUGACCCCCAGGACAAGCCGUAGUAGUAGCGCGGGAUAUAAAUCCCGUGCUACUGUUAUGAACAAAGUUUUUUAACAGCCCUGAAAUCCCCAUCUCCUCCCCUAAAUCCCUCCUCUCUCCCACCACUUUCCCCCUCUCCCCAUAGGCUCCCCAACGGGGNNNNNNNNNNNNNNNNNNNNNNNNNNNNNNNNNNNNNNNNNNNNNNNNNNNNNNNNNNNNNNNNNNNNNNNNNNNNNNNNNNNNNNNNNNNNNNNNNNNNAACAGUCUCCCACUUGCACUAGAGUCAAUAAUCUAGCCCUCACAUCAUCAUGCGAAUUACAUUGUAAUAAAUCUAACACCCAUACAGUUCUGGUGUUGAUCAUGCUUUGCAUAUAUUCACGUCCUCCCCUUCGACGUAGUCGCAGAUGAGGUUGAAGCGUCGUUUGAUGUGUCUGGACUUCUUGUGAAACUGUGGUUCCUUUGCUAAGGCAAUGGCACUCGUGUUGUCACAGAACAAGGUUAUUGGAUUCAGUGCGCUUGGCACCACUCCAAGAUCCGUCAUGAAUUGCUUCAUCCAGACACCCUCCUUAGCCGCCUCCGAGGCAGCCAUGUACUCCGCUUCACAUGUAGAAUCUGCUACGACGCUUUGCUUGGAACUACACCAGCUUACCGUACCCCCAUUAAGAAUAAAUACGUCAGAUCUGUGUCAAAGCUUGCAUUGACGUAACCUUUUACGGCGAGCUCUUCGUCACCUCCAUACACGAGAAACAUCUCCUUAGUCAUUUUCAGGUACUUCAGGAUAUUCUUGACCGCCGUCCAGUGAUCCACUCCUGGAUUACUCUGGAACCUACCUGCCACACUUAUGGCCAGGCUAACGUCCGGUCUAGUGCACAGCAUUGCAUACAUGAUAGAACCUAUGGCUGAAGCAUAGGGGACGGUGCUCAUAUGCUCUCUAUCCUCAUCAGUUGCUGGGCACUGAGUCUUACUCAAUCUCGUACCUUGUGAAACUGGCAAGAACCCUUUCUUGGACUAUUCCAUUUUGAACCUCUUCAAAACUUUAUCAAGGUAUGUGCUUUGUGAAAGUCCUACCAGGCAUUUUGAUCUAUCCCUGUAGAUCUUAAUGCCUAGAAUGUAAGCAGCUUCUCCUAGGUCCUUCAUAGAGAAACUUUAAUUCAAGUAAUCCUUUAUGCUCUCCAUAAACUCUACGUUGUUUCCAAUCAGCAAUAUGUCAUCCACAUAUAAUAUUAGAAACGCCACAGAGCUCCCACUCACUUUCUUGUAAAUACAAGAUUCUCCAACCACUUGUAUAAACCCAAAUGCUUUGAUCACCUCAUUAAAGCGUUUGUUCCAACUCCGAGAUGCUUGCACCAGUCCAUAAAUGGAUCGCUGGAGCUUGCACACCUUGUUAGCAUUCUUAGGAUCGACAAAGCCUUCGGGUUGCAUCAUAUACAAUUCUUCCUUAAGGAAACCGUUAAGGAACGCCGUUUUGACAUCCAUCUGCCAGAUUUCAUAAUCGAAAAAUGCAGCUAUUGCUAACAUGAUUCUGACGGACUUAAGCAUCGCUACGGGUGAGAAUGUCUCAUCGUAGUCAACUCCUUGAACUUGUGAAAAACCCUUUGCCACAAGUCAUGCUUUAUAAACGGUCACAUUGCCGUCAGCGUCCAUCUUCCUCUUAAAGAUCCAUUUGUUUUGAAUAGCCUUACGGCCCUCAGGCAGUACUUCCAAAGUCCACACUUUGUUCUCAUACAUGGAUCCUAUCUCGGACUUCAUGGCUUCUAGCCAUUUGUUGGAAUCUGGGCCCACCAUUGCUUCUUCAUAAUUUGCAGGUUCAUUGUUGUCUAACAACAUGAUUGACAAGACGGGAUUACCGUACCACUCUGGAGCAGCACGUGGUCUCGUCGACCUGCGUGGUUCGACAGAAACUUGAACCGGAGUUUCAUGAUCAUCAUCAUUAACUUCCUCCUCAACCGGCGUCGCAACGACAGAGGUUUCCCCUUGCCCUGCGCCACCAUCGAGAGGGAUGAGAGGUUCGACAACCUCAUCAAGUUCUAUCUUCCUCCCACUCAAUUCUCUCGAGAGAAACUCCUUCUCGAGAAAAGCUCUGUUUUUAGCAACAAACACUUUGCCCUCGGAUUUGAGAUAGAAGGUGUACCCAACUGUCUCUUUUGGGUAACCUAUGAAGACGCACUUUUCCGCUUUGGGUUCCAGCUUUUCAGGCUGAAGCUUUUUGACAUAAGCAUCACAUCCCCAAAUUUUAAGAAACGACAACUUUGGCCUUUUGCCAUACCACAGUUCGUACGGUGUCGUCUCAACGGAUUUUGAUGGUGCCCUAUUUAAAGUGAAUGCAGCUGUUUCUAAUGCAUAACCCCAAAACUAUAACGGCAAAUCGGUAAGAGACAUCAUAGAUCGCACCAUCUCUAAUAAAGUACGAUUACGACGUUCGGACACACUAUUACACUGUGGUGUUCCAGGCGGUGUCAAUUGUGAAACAAUUCCACAUUGUUUUAAGUGAGAACCAAACUCGAAACUCAGAUAUUCACCCCCACGAUCAGACCGUAGGAACUUGAUUUUCUUGUUACGAUGAUUUACAACUUCACUCUGAAAUUGCUUGAACUUUUCAAAUGUUUCAGACUUGUACUUCAUUAAGUAGACAUAACCAUAUCUACUCAAAUCGUCAGUGAAGGUGAGAAAAUAACGAUAUCCGCCGCGUGCCUCUACGCUCAUCGGACCACACACAUCGGUAUGUAUUAUUUCCAACAAGUCACUUGCACGCUCCAUUGUUCCGGAGAACGGAGUUUUAGUCAUCUUGCCCAUGAGGCAUGGUUCAAACGUGUCAAGUGAAUCAAAGUCAAGUGACUCCAAAAGUCCAUCGGCAUGGAGUUUCUUCAUGCGCUUUACACCAAUGUGACCUAAGCGGCAGUGCCACAAAAAUAUGUCGCUAUCAUUGUUAACUCUAACUCUUUUGGUCUUAAUGUUAUGUAUGUGUGUAUCGCUAUCAAGAUUCAAUAUGAACAAUCCUCUCACAUUGGGUGCAUGACCAUAAAAGAUGUUACUCAUAGAAAUAGAACAACCAUUAUUCUCUGACUUAAAAGAGUAACUGUCUCGCAAUAAACAAGAUCCAGAUAUAAUGUUCAUGCUCAACGCAGGCACUAAAUAACAAUGAUUCAAGUUCAUAACUAAUCCUGAUGGUAACUGAAGUGAAACUAUGCCGACGGCUAUUGCAUCAUCCUUGGAACCAUUUCCUACACGCAUCGUCACUUCAUCUUUCGCCAGCCUUCGUCUAUUCCGCAGUUCCUGUUUCGAGUUGCAAAUAUGAGCAACAGAACCGGUAUCGAAUACCCUGGCACUACUACGAGAGCCGGUUAAGUACACAUCGAUAACAUGUAUAUCAAAUAUACCUGAUUUUUCUUUGGCCGCCUUCUUAUCUGCCAGAUACUUGGGGCAAUUGCGCUUCCAGUGACCCAUACCCUUGCAAUAGUAACACUCUGUUUCAGGCUUAGGUCCAGCUUUGGGUUUCUUCGUCGGAUUGGCAACAGGCUUGCCGCUCUUCUUUGAAUUACCCUUCUUGCCUUUGCCGUUUCUCUUGAAACUAGUGGUCUUAUUCACCAUCAACACUUGAUGCUCUUUACGGAGUUCAGACUCCGCGACUUUCAGCAUCGCAAACAACUCGCCGGGAGACUUGUUCAUCCCUUGCAUGUUGUAGUUCAACACAAAGACUUUAUAGCUUGGCGGCAGUGAUUGAAGGAUUCUGUCAGUGAUAGCCUCUUGCGGGAGUUCAAUCCCCAGCUCAGCUAGACGGUUUGAGUACCCAGACAUUUUGAGCACAUGUUCACUGACAGACGAGUUCUCCUCCAUCUUGCAAGCAUAGAAUUUAUCGGAGGUCUCCUACCUCUCGAUCCGGGCGUUCUUCUGAAAGAUAAACUUCAACUCCUGGAACAUCUCAAAUGCUCCAUGACGCUCAAAGCGACGUUGAAGUCCCGGUUCUAAGCCAUACAAGACUGCACAUUGAACUACCGAGUAGUCCUCCUUACGUGCUAACCAAGCGUUCUUAACAUCCUGAUCAGCCGUAGCGGGUGGUUCAUCUCCUAGCGCGGCAUUAAGGACAUAAUCCUUCUUCCCAGCUUGCAGGAGCAACUUAAUAUUACGAGCCCAGUCUACAAAGUUGCUUCCAUCAUCUUUCAAAUUAGCUUUCUCUAGGAACAUAUUAAAAUUCAGGGUGACUGUCGCGUGAGCCAUGAUCUACAACACAAAUAUAUUCAAAGUGGACAUACACUAUGUUCAAGAUAAUUAGAGUUUAACUUAAUCAAAUUAUUCGCUAAACUCCCACUCAAAAAGUACAUCUCUCUAGUCAUUUAAGUGGUUCAUGAUCCACUUACACUAGCUCAAGUCCGAUCAUCACGUGAGUUGAGUAUAGUUUCAGUGGUAAGCAUCCCUAUGAUAAUCAUAUCAUCUAUAUGAUUCAUGAUCGACCUUUCGGUCUCAUGUGUUCCGAGACCAUGUCUGCACAUGCUAGGCUCGUCAAGCUUAACCCGAGUGUUCCGCGUGCGCAACUGUUUUCCACCCGUUGUAUGUGAACAUUGAGUCUAUCACACCUGAUCAUCAUGUGGUGUCUCGAAACGACGAACUGUAGCAACGGUGCACAGUCGGGGAGAACACAAUUUCGUCUUGAAAUUUUAGUGAGAGAUCACCUCAUAAUGCUACCGUCGUUCUAAGCAAAAUAAGGUGCAUAAAAGGAUUAACAUCACAUGCAAUUCAUAAGUGACAUGAUAUGGCCAUCAUCACGUGCUCCUUGAUCUCCAUCACCAAAGCACCGGCACGAUCUUCUUGUCACCGGCGCCGCACCAUGAUCUCCAUCAAUGUGUCGCCAUCGGGGUUGUCGUGCUACUCAUGCUAUUACUACUAAAGCUACAUCCUAGCAAAAUAGUAAACGCAUCUGCAAGCACAAACGUUAGUAUAAAGACAACCCUAUGGCUCCUGCCGGUUGGCGUACCAUCGACGUGCAAGUCGAUAUUUCUAUUACAACAUGAUCAUCUCAUACAUCCAAUAUAUCACAUCACAUCGUUGGCCAUAUCACAUCACAAGCAUACCCUGCAAAAACAAGUUAGACGUCCUCUAAUUUUGUUGUUGAAUGUUUUACGUGGUGACCAUGGGUAUCUAGUAGGAUCGCAUCUUACUUACGCAAACACCACAACGAAGAUAUAUGAGUUGCUAUUUAACCUUAUCCAAGGACCUCCUCGGUCAAAUCCGAUUCAACUAAAGUUGGAGAAACUGACACUUGCCAGUCAUCUUUGAGCAACGGGGUUACUCGUAGCGAUGAAACCAGUCUCUCGUAAGCGUACGAGUAAUGUCGGUCCAAGCCGCUUCAAUCCAACAAUACCGCGGAAUCAAGAAAAGACUAAGGAGGGCAGCAAAACGCACAUCACCGCCCACAAAAACUUUUGUGUUCUACUCGAGAAGACAUCUACGCAUGAACCUAGCUCAUGAUGCCACUGUUGGGGAACGUCGCAUGGGAAACAAAAAUUUUCCUACGCGCACGAAGACCUAUCAUGGUGAUGUCCAUCUACGAGAGGGGAUGUGUGAUCUACGUACCCUUGUAGACCGUACAACAGAAGCGUUAGUGAACACGGUUGAUGUAGUGGAACGUCCUCACGUCCCUCGAUCCGCCCCGCGAACCGUCCCGCGAUCAGUCCCACGAUCUAGUGCCGAACGGACGACACCUCCGCGUUCAGCACACGUACAGCUCGACGAUGAUCUCGGCCUUCUUGAUCCAGCAAGAGAGACGGAGAGGUAGAAGAGUUCUCCGGCAGCGUGACGGCGCUCCGGAGGUUGGUGAUGAUCUUGUCUCAGCAGGGCUCCGCCCGAGCUCCGCAGAAACGCGAUAUAGAGGAAAAACCGUGGAGGUAUGUGGUCGGGCUGCCGUGGAAAAUUCGUCUCAAAUCAGCCCUAAAACCUCCGUAUAUAUAGGGGGAAGAGGGGGAGCCUUGCGUCCGGAAACCCUCGUGACGUCCGUGAUCUCAUCCGGGACUCCGAACAACAUUCGGUAACCAACCAUAUAACUCAAAUACGCAUAAAACAACGUCGAACCUUAAGUGUGCAGACCCUGCGGGUUCGAGAACUAUGUAGACAUGACCCGAGAGACUCCUCGGUCAAUAUCCAAUAGCGGGACCUGGAUGCCCAUAUUGGAUCCUACAUAUUCUACGAAGAUCUUAUCGUUUGAACCUCAGUGCCAAGGAUUCAUAUAAUCCCGUAUGUCAUUCCCUUUGUCCUUCGGUAUGUUACUUGCCCGAGAUUCGAUCGUCAGUAUCCGCAUACCUAUUUCAAUCUCGUUUACCGGCAAGUCUCUUUAGUCGUUCCGUAAUACAAGAUCCCGCAACUUACACUAAGUCACAUUGCUUGCAAGGCUUGUGUGUGAUGUUGUAUUACCGAGUGGGCCCCGAGAUACCUCUCCGUCACACGGAGUGACAAAUCCCAGUCUCGAUCCAUACUAACUCAACGAACACCUUUGGAGAUACCUGUAGAGCAUCUUUAUAGUCACCCAGUUAUGUUGCGAUGUUUGAUACACACAAAGUAUUCCUCCGGUGUUAGUGAGUUAUAUGAUCUCAUGGUCAUAGGAACAAAUACUUGACACGCAGAAAACAGUAGCAACAAAAUGACACGAUCAACAUGCUAUGUCUAUUAGUUUGGGUCUAGUCCAUCACGUGAUUCUCCUAAUGACGUGAUCCAGUUAUCAAGCAACAACACCUUGUUCAUAAUCAGAAGACACUGACUAUCUUUGAUCAACUGGCUAGCCAACUAGAGACAUGCUAGGGACGGUGUUUUGUCUAUGUAUCCACACAUGUAAAUGCUUGCUAGGGACAGUGUUUUGUCUAUGUAUCCACACAUGUAAGUGAGUCUUCAUUCAAUACAAUUAUAGCAUGGAUAAUAAACGAUUAUCUUGAUACAGGAAUUAUAAUAAUAACUAUAUUUAUUAUUGCCUCUAGGGCAUAAUUCCAACACUUGGUGGCGGAGUGGGGGCUUGUGGGCUCCCUGGAGCCCACCUGGCUUGGCCCAAAAGCCCCUUGGACUUCUUUCGUUCGGGAAAAAAUCAUUUCGGGGUUUUUCUUCCGUUAGGACUCCAUUCCAAAAUUAGAUCUGAAAAGAGUCAAAAACACAGAAAAAACAGGAACUGGCACUUGGCAUUGAAUUAAUAAGUUAGUCUCAAAACGAUAUAAAAAGGUACAUAAAACAUACAAAGAAGACAAGAUAACAUCGUGAAACCAUAAAAAAUUAUAGAUACGUUUGAGACGUAUUAGUGAGCACCAAACUCGAAACUCAGAUAUUCACCCCCACGAUCAGACCGUAGGAACUUGAUCUUCUUGUUACGUUGAUUUUCAACUUCGCUCUGAAAUUGCUUGAACUUCUCAAACGUUUCAGACUUGUGCGUCAUCAAGUAGACAUAACCAUAUCUACUCAAAUCAUCGGUGAAGGUGAGAAAAUAACGAUAUCCGCCGCGCGCCUCGACACUCAUCGGACCGCAUACAUCGGCAUGUAUGAUUUCCAACAAGUCACUUGCACGCUCCAUUGUUUCGGAGAAUGGAGUCUUAGUCAUCUUGCCCAUGAGGCAUGGUUCGCACGUGUCAAGUGAAUCAAAGUUAAGUGACUCCAAAAGUCCAUCGGUAUGGAGUUCCUUCAUGCGCUUUACACUAAUAUGACCUAAGCGGCAGUGCCAUAAAAACAUGGCGCUAUCAUUGUUAAAUCUAACUCUUUUGGUCUUUAUGUUAUGUAUAUAUGUAUUAUCGCUAUCAAGAUUCAAUAUGAACAAUCCUCUUACAUUGGGUGCAUGACCAUAAAAGAUAUUACUCAUAGAAAUAGAACAACCAUUAUUCUCUGACUUAAAUGAGUAACCGUCUCGCAAUAAACAUGAUCCAGAUAUAAUGUUCAUGCUUAAGACAGACACUAAAUAACAUUUAUUUAAGUUCAUAACUAAUCCUGAUGGUAACUGAAGUGAAAGUGUGCCGACGGCGAUUGCAUCAACCUUGGAACCAUUUCCCACGCGCAUCGUCACUUCAUCCUUCGUGAGCCUUCAAUUAUUCCACAGUUCCUGUUUCGAGAUGCAAAUAUGAGCAACAUAACCGGUAUCGAAUAACCAGGCAUUACUACGAGAGUUGGUUAAGUACACAUCAAUAACAUGUAUAUCGAAUAUACCUGAUUUUUCCUAGGCCGCCUUCUUAUCUCCCAGAUACUUAGGGCAGUUGCGCUUCCAGUGACCCAUACCCUUGCAAUAAUAACACUCCGUUUCAGGCUUAGGUCCAGCUUUGGGUUUCUUCGUCGGAUUGGCAACAGGCUUGUCGCUCUUCUUUGAAUUACCCUUCUUUCCUUUGUCGUUUCUCUUGAAACUAGUGGUCUUAUUCACCAUCAACACUUGAUGCUCUUUACGGAUUUCUGACUCUGCGACUUUCAACAUCGCGAAUAACUCGCCGGGUGACUUGUUCAUCCCUUGCAUGUUAUAGUUCAACACAAAGCUCUUAUAGCUUGGUGGCAGUGAUUGAAGAAUUCUGUCAGUGAUAGCCUCUUGCGGGAGUUCAAUCCCCAUCUCAGCUAGACGGUUUGAGUACCUAGACAUUUUGAGCACAUGUUCACUGACACACGAAUUCUCCUCCAUCUUGCAAGCAUAGAAUUUAUCGGAGGUCUCAUACCUCCCGAUCCGGGCGUUCUUCUGAAAGAUAAACUUCAACUCCUAGAACAUCUCAAAUACUCCAUGAUGCUCAAAGCGACGUUGAAGUCCCGGCUCUAAGCCAUACAAGACUACACAUUGAACUACUGAGUAGUCCUCCUUGCGUGCUAACCAAGUGUUCUUAGCAUCUUGGUCAGCCACGGCAGGUGGUUCAUCUCCUAGUGCAGCAUUAAGGACAUAAUCCUUCUUCCCAGCUUGCAGGAGCAACUUAAUAUUACGAGCCCAGUCUACAAAGUUGCUUCCAUCAUCUUUCAAAUUAGCUUUCUCUAGGAACAUAUUAAAAUUCAGGGUGACUGUCGCGUGAGCCAUUGAUCUACAACGCAAAUAUUUCAAAGUGGACUUAGACUAUAUUCAAGAUAAUUAGAGUUUAACUAAUCAAAUUACUUGCUAAAAUCCCACUCAAAAAGUACAUCUCUCUAGUCAUUUGAGUGGUACAUGAUCCAAAUUCACUAGCUCAAGUCCGAUCAUCACGUGAGUUGAGGAUAGUUCCAGUGGUAAGCAUCUCUAUGCUAAUCAUAUCAACUAUACGAUUCAUGCUCGACCUUUCGGUCUCAUGUGUUCCGAGGCCAUGUCUGUACAUGCUAGGCUCGUCAAGCUUAACCCGAGUGUUCCACGUGUGCAACUGUUUUCCACCCGUUGUAUGUGAACAUUGAGUCUAUCACACCUGAUCAUCAUGUGGUGUCUCGAAACGACGAACUGUAGCAACGGUGCACAGUCGGGGAGAACACAAUUUCGUCUUGAAAUUUUAGUGAGAGAUCACCUCAUAAUGCUACCGUCGUUCUAAGCAAAAUAAGGUGCAUAAAAGGAUUAACAUCACAUGCAAUUCAUAAGUGACAUGAUAUGGCCAUCAUCAUGUGCUUCUUGAUCUCCAUCACCAAAGCACCGACACAAUCUUCUUGUCACCGGCGCCACACCAUGAUCUCCAUCAACGUGUCGCCAUCAGGGUUGUUGUGCUACUUAUGCUAUUACUACUAAAGCUACGUCCUAGCAAUAUAGUAAAUUCAUCUGGAAACACAAACGUUAGUUUAAAGACAACCCUAUGGCUCCUGCCGGUUGGCGUACCAUCGACGUGCAAGUCGAUAUGAACUAUUACAACAUGAUCAUCUCAUACAUUCAAUAUAUCACAUCACAUCAUUGGCCAUAUCAUAUUACAAGCAUACCCUGCAAAAACAGGUUAGACGUCCUCUAAUUGUUGUUGCAUGUUUUACGUGGUUGCUAUGGGUAUCUAGUAGAUCGCAUCUUACUUACGCAAAAACCACAACGGAGAUGUGCAAAUUGCUAUUCAACCUCUCCAAGGACCGCCUCGGUCAAAACCAAUUCAACUAAAGUUGAAGAAACCGACACCCGUCAGUCAUCUUUAUGCAACGAGGUUGCAUGUCAAGCAGUGAAACCAGUCUUUCGUAAGCGUACGAAUAAUGUCGGUGUGGGUCGCUUCAAUCGAACAAUACCGCCGAAUCGAGAAAAGACUAAGGAGGGCAGCAAAUCGAACAUCACCGUCCACAAAACCCUUUGUGUUCUACUCGAGAUUACAUCUAUGCAUGAACCUAGCUCAUGAUGCCACUUUUGGGGAACGUCGCAUGGGAAACAAAAAAUUUCCUACGCGCACGAAGACCUAUCAUGGUGAUGUCCAUCUACGAGAGGAGAUUUGGAUCUAUGUACCCUUGUAGAUCGCACAGCAGGAAGCGUUAAGAAACGCGGUUGAUGUAGUGGAACGUCCUCACGUCUCUCGAUCCGCCCCACGAACCGUCCCACGAACCGUCCCACGAUCCGUUCCGAUCUAGUGCCGAACGGACGGCAGCUCCGUGUUCAGCACACGAACAGCUCGACGAUGACCUCGGUCUUCUUGAUCCAGCAAGCAAGACGGAGAAGUAGACGAGUUCUCCGGAAGUGUGACGGUGCUCCGGUGGUGCUACAGAAUGAGCUAAAACUUCUUGAUCUUGAUGUAAAUGAUGUGCGAGGAUAAGGUUAUGAUAAUGGAUCAAAUAUGAAAGGAACGCAUCAAGGGGUGCAAAGAAAACUUUUGGAUGUAAAUCUUAGAUCUUUUUAUUCUGCUUGUGGUUGUCAUAGCCUUAAUUUAACACUUUGUGAUAUGGCCAAGACUUGUGGUAGAGCAAAAGACUUUUUUGGGAUCAUCCAACGCAUCUAUACAUUUUUUGCAAAUUCUACUAAGAAAUGGCAUAUUUUGAAAGAAAACAUAUGAGGAUUGGCUCUCAAGUCUUUGUCAGCUACGCGUUGGGAGAGUCGUGUUGAAAGUGUUAAAUCAAUUAGAUUUCAAUGUUCACACAUUCGGGAGGCUCUACUUCAGGUAACCAAUAUGUUCAUAUUGAUAAUGAUGUAAUUCAUUCAGGCUUUGACUAGAUCCAGCCAUAACAUUUAUGAAUUUUCUUUUAAUUUCAGGUAUCUGAAACUGUUAGUGAUCCAAAGGCAAGCAGUGAGGCUCUAGGUUUGGCAAACAAUGAACUUAGACAAUAUGAAUUUAUCGUGGCAAUACUCAUUUGGUAUGAGGUGUUGUGUGUUAUUAAUUUAGUAAGCAAGAACUUGCAAACAAAGUAUAUGCUUAUUGAUGUUGCAAUUGAGAAAGUGAAAGGGCUUAUUUCUUUCUUUCAGGGGUAUAGAGAAACUGGUUUCUUAGAAGCAUUGGAGAUAGCCAAAGAAAUUGCACCUGAGAUGAAUAUUGAUGCAACAUUUCGUAAAGGAAGAGAAAUUAAAAGAAAGAAACAGUUUGAUGAGAACCCACACGACACAAAUAUUGCCACAUAGUCCGCAGAGGAAUCAUUUAGAGUCAACUAUUUCAUACGUGUUGUUGAUCAAGCAAUUUGCUCACUCACAAGGAGAUUUGAGCAAUAUAAAGGUUACCAGAAAAUAUUUAAUUUUUUAUUUACCUCUGAAAUAUUGCGUUCAUUGGAUAAGGAUAGUUUAAAAUCUUCUUAUGUUAAUCUUGAGGUUUCCCUUAUGAAGGAUAAACAAUCUGAUAUUGAUGCCAAUGAACUAUUUGUUGAGUUGGAGUUUCUUCAAAAUUUCAUGCCAAAAGAAAAUAUCGGACCUGUUGAAAUUCUGAUUUUUUUAAAGCGGCAUGAUUGUUUUCCCAAUGCAAGUAUUGCAUAUAGAGUUCUGUUGACCAUUCCUGUGACAGUUGCAUCGGCAGAAAGAAGUUUUUCUAAAUUGAAACUAUUGAAAUCCUAUAUGCGUACUACUAUGACACAACAAAGACUCAAUAAUUUGAUCAUAAUAGCACUUGAGAGUGAAGUCUUGGAGAAGAUUAAUUACGAGGAUAUCAUUGAAGAUUUUAUUUCAAAGAAUACUCCAAGAAUGAGGAUGUUCAAAUAAAUGGCAAUCGGGAGUUGCAUAGGUAUGACUUUUUAUAUGUCCAAUUUUUCUGUAAGAUAUUAUAUUAUAUACAUUAUAAUUUUUUCUAUGAAAUAUAUAUACAUUAUAAUUGCUCGUUAGUUCAGAUUUUUGUGAGAUAGGGCCCCAUUUUUUCGUUCCGCAUAGGGCCCCGAACUUUGCCGGUCCGACGCUGCAAACACCACAAUAAAAAAAGAAAAAUGAUAAUAAACUCACGAACGAUUUGCUAUGGAUUAGCCAUACCAAACAUUUUCCCAUAAAUCACUUCUAUGAUUUGCAAUGUUGACCCACUUUUUUCUUAAUCUUUAAUCAUAAAUUAACACAUCCAUCUGUAAGCAUGAUUUUGUGAAGUCAUUCAUAGGAGUAGCAUAUGUGAUUAAAACAUGCAUUCCCUUGUAUCCCCACACGCCAAACCUACUAAUAUGUAAAUAUUUUCCACUGCUUUAAAAAACAUAAAAUAUGUACAACACCAAGAAUAUAAUCGGCGCGACAAAGCGUACACUAUCCUUCUAGUUCAUACGAAUCUGUAUAGCACACCAUAUCGAGAACAUACCCACAUCAUACGGUGCUUGAAUCUUAACUAAAAUGGGAGUUGAGUUUUUGAGCUAGAGCUCAUUUGAGCUUGAUGAACAGUAAACUUUCAAAAAAUAUUGAUGGAAACAUUGACAAAAGUUUUACAUGCUUCCAAAAUUUCAUAUUGAAAUCACAUUCCUGGAAAUCGUGGCAAAAAACAGAAUUGAUGCUCGAGAUGUGUUAUUUUCGAAAGCAUUUGGAGUGCUGACUUUUUUUUGGCACGACCUUUAUGAAUGUCCUUUCAAGAUGAAAGUUUUUGGACAUGAAAAACUUUUGACAAUGUUUGCACUAAAAAAAUCAUAAUUAUUUAAAUGAUUUUCCAUUUUUUAUUUUACUGUUUAUCCAAGCUUAAAUGAGCUCAGGAGCAUAAGAUGACUUUCUAAAAAAAAUCUUGUGCAAGAUAGAGUCCCGAAGAGAUUUUUUUUUUCUGCGAGAUAGAGUCCGCAAGAGAUUUAACUCCAAUCAUUUUGGCUAGACAUGGACAUACCGCCCGCGUGUGGCAUGUGAACCCUUCCCUUGCGUGCACAGUACAGCCAGCCGCACUGAGGCGGACGGGUCGUUGCGGCGUGGCGCAUCCGGGGCGUACGAUGGAUCCAACUGCGGUUGCGCCAUCGCGUACGCGUGUGGUUGCGCCCGCGUCGUCCAGCACCCUUCAUUGUCCCGCGCGCACCCUGAGACAUAUCCACAGAUUCCAGCGUGACAGCAGCCGCCGGUACGGAGCGAUGGCCAUGGCCAUGUGUUGCACCGCUUCGCCCCAAGCCAAACAUGUCCAUAUGCGUCCACCUGUCGCUCGCCCUCCUCAAUGAUACCGGCAUGGCGUGCCGGAUUUUAUUAACGAGCACGUACAAGUGGGACCACAAUUUUUUUUAAUGUUUUCCGUUCAAACGGGUGAGGCUGCCGUGAAGUUGCGUGCGUGCUUUGUGAUCUCCUUGAAAGUCACAUUUAUAAAUAUAUUUUUUUUUGACUUUGAGUGCAUUUCGCCCUGCAUGCUCUUCAAAAGUAUUGGCGCGUACUCCUGUUUCACUCACCAAGAACAAACUGCGUAGUACUACUAGUACUCGAUGUUUAUUUAGCACUAAUUGCUCUAAGUUGAUGCUAUCCUGUAGUAGUAGGAGGAGUAGCAGUUGAGCAUUUAUUACGGAAUCAUGACUGGCAAAUCGAGAUCUCCUCGAGGCGAACACCCGUGGUACAAUACGCCAGCGAUGUUCACGUGGUAGAUAGGAAAGGAAAAACAAAAAACCUGCCAGCCUGACAGCGGCGUCUCACCGGCCGGGCCCGCCUCGCCCCCGGACGGUACGGCGCCACGUGACCGUCAGUGAGCCUUGUCUUCCCAUUUCAGGCAUGGUACUCGGUUUCGGAAAAUACUUUAAUCAUUUUUCCUCAGGUCCGUUAAACCAGCACGCAUCUGCGAAACCUUCUUUCUUUUCUCUCUCUCUCUCUCGCGCGCGCUAGGCAGCUUUGCUUUGCUUGCCCGUACGCGCCACGAUAACAGUACCGAGGAAUAAUUCGUUAAACCAGCCCCUGGUCGAAUGGCCCCACCUGUCGCUUGGGCCCACGGUUUAUUGAGCUAUAUGCCUCUACAGGCAUACGUUCAUGCCUGCUAGCGUGUACGUUAUCUGGAGCUUGUCUGCACUCAUACCUGAGGGACGCAUCUGACGUAGUAAAUCGAAACUAGAUUCCCGGAAAUUUACCAAGCUGUUGAUUUUUUUUACUCUAGAAAAUGUACUCCCUCCGUUCCUAAAUAUAAGUCUUUUAAGAGGUUUCACUAAAAGGACUACAUACGGAGAAUGACGUUUUGGCUCCCGGGAACCAUGGAGGCCUUUAUUUUUGAAAAAUUCAAAUUCAAAAUUUUAUGGUUCAAAAAAUUCUGAAAAAAAUAUACAUGUAUGUGAGGAUGUAACCGACAUGUGUGUAAAAUUUUAGAUCAAAAUAUUUUAAAACGUGAUCUGUACAAAAAAGACAAAUUCAUGGUCUGAAAUGGUGAAUAGUAACAUGUGUUAAACAACCUCAGAUUUGUCUUUUUUGCACAGCCCUCAUUUUAACGUAUUUUGUUCUGAAAAUUUACACACUUGUGUAUUAUACCUUCAUUUAUCUAUGUAUUUUUUUCAGAAUUUUUUAAAACAUUAAAAUACAAAUUUUCACUGAAUUUGAAGUUUGAAUUUAAAGGCCUCCAGUGAGCUCGGGAGCCAAAAGCAAUAUUCGCUACAUACGGAUGCAUAUAGACAUACUUUAGAGUAUAUUCAUUCAUUUUAUUUCGUAUGUAGCCCUCUAGUGAAAUAUCUAAAAAGACUUAUAUUUAGGAACGAAGGGAGUACUAUGUUUAACCAUGUUACAUGUAUGUUAUAAUAAUACGUACUGAGCAUCCUUUUUUAUUCUUUUUUUUGGUACUCGCUUUAUGCGGUGCAUUCCUCUUCUAAGGGUGUUACUUGUAAUACCUUUUCUGAUCAACGAAUUUGGCAGCUCUCCUGUCAACAUUCAAAAAAAUAUAUAUAAUAAUACGUACUGCCUUGAGGUUUCCCCCAUUGCGUCGCACCUAGCUACGUCGAGACCCCCUUCCCCCCGCCACACGUUUUCCUCUCUUCCCUCGCGGCUGGAACCCUAGCCGCCGUCACGAGAGGACAAUCUUCCAACGUUGUCCUUCGACGACUCGCCUCUGCCGGCGAUCUCGGUCGUCGAUGGUGAGGACGAUCGUCGGAUCCAAGCGUGUGGAUUAUUUUUAGUUUUUGUAGUCUAGGUUUUUAGGUUGUUGAUCGUUUUGGCUUCGACAACGGUAAUGACGACGCUGAAUAAUGAUUAUUCGGAUCCUUCCCUCGUGAGGCCAUCGGUCCUAUAGUUCAGGAAGGAUUUGGAAACCAGUCUGUUCAAGCAAGGUUGGCGUGGCGGUGGCGACAUCCUCGUGAUGGACAUGUGUCCUCGGUAUCCGCCGUUGUGACGGCGUUUGCUCCAGCGUCGGCGCGGAGCUUGAGAGGCAGUCCAGGAGCAGAUGCAGAUUGUGGUCUGCAUCGACGACAUCUGAAAGACGGAACAUGUGCUGGGUUCGUGGUUCGUGGAUGGCAGGUAUGGUUUACUACUUCGACGUCUUAGUCGUGGUGGGGUGCUAGAUCUGGAGUUCGAUGGCGUGUGAGGGGUGUUGUCCGGUCUCAUUCGUUCAAUGACAAGGGCUUCACUUUUGGUGAGCCAUCUUGGAGGUCCGCAAAGCUGCAUAUCAGCGAUGGAGAUGCGUCGAGCUCGGUGAGAAGGUCAUGCGUCAUUCUUUUAUUCGAUGGCUGCUGUGGUGGUGCCGGAGGUAGGUGACGAACAUUGGUGUCAAACUCAGAGAUGUUCUUCUAUCUUUCCAGUUUUGACACGUCGGUCUUUAUGUUACUUGCACUUUGAUUUUUAUGAUAUGAGUGAGACACAUAUUACCAAGAAAAAAAAGACCCCCACCCGAUCCCACUCUUGUGUGCUGGCUUUUCGCUGAUGUAUCCAUCCGGGCUAAAAAGCAAACGACCGAUGGAGGUCGGCAUUUUUUUUAAAUGAGGUAAAAGAUUUGUUAUUUUUAUUAAUUAAGAAGAAAAUAAUUGUGUGGUUAAUUGGUAAAAAACCGGACUAAACCGAUACAACACAUAGCCCAUAUGACAGGGGCAACAUCGGUCAACCUGGCCAUCGACAAUGGGACCCGAAGCUGUAAAGAAGAAAGACAUCACCGCGGAGUCGCAAGCGUCAUCGUCAUCACCAGUUGCCUCGAACGAGCGACUCCGACUUCAUCAACGAGCUCCAACAAAUGUAUUUCCUAUACAAGUGUAUUUGCUGGAGAAACAAUAAUUCAAACAUGGUCUGAAAUGAUGGAAAUACUAGAUUUAAAAGAAGACCUCGAUGUCGUGGUCUUUGGGAACGAGGGACAACUGCCCACGGAUUCGACCCGAUAGCUAGCAAUUGCUAGGCUUCAUAUGGAUAAAGAGUAUAACGACUUCAAGAACAUGCAAACAACAUGGGAUCUUACGUGUAUGGUUAAAUUCAAAUCUCUGGGAAACAAACUAUUUACGGCAAAAAGUUCGUGUCUAGGUGAUUGGGGCAAGGUGAUGGAAGGAGGAAUGUGAAUGUUUGAAUUUUUUUUAAGAAUGCAACUUUGUAUUUAUUUUGUGAACAAGUUCCCAAAGGGCACUAUAGAUCUGAUAAUCUUCUAGUAAAACAUUUGUGAGUGCAACAGAAAGACAACUAGACGCGGGAAGAUGAGUAAAAAUAAAAUUACAUAGGAAAAUAUACUAGCCUUUUUUUCAUGUGAUUGUACACCAUCCGCUAAAGAUUAUAAAUUGCAUUGUACCAGUGGUGAAGUAAAUGGACUCCUCCAAGCACCCUUGACAUGCUAGGAUUUAAAUACCGCAAUAGCCACUCUUCCUUAAAAACUAAAAUGCGAUCUAGAAAUCAUUGAAGAAACACCAAUUGGAGCAUCACCCCACGCAACAUGGGCUUGCAAUCCACCACCAUUAGUUCAGAGAGUACUAGAAACUAGACCAUACCGCAUAAAAGGAAAUAAAAUAAGAUGUUGAAGUCUACACAACAGUAGCCAACCUUGUUCUCCUUGAUAGACACACCUACUAUCAGGACCCACAUAGAGGUAACACAUCUGGCGACACAAACUCUUACAUGCUCUUUGUCGGCGUUGGCUUGGAUGUUGGUGAUACAGGGAGAGGCCAAAGAGCCCUUACUCCAACACACCAUUGCCACCAUCACCUCAUCACCGUCAUAAGGGAAACAAAACCAAAUGAAAAGAGAAAUGAAAAAUGGACGGUUCCCGCACUCCUCUUGUCGUCGCCAAGGCUGUCGGACGAUGGAGAGGAGGGGAACCUUUGGCAACGACAUGGAGGAGGGCUUUGGCGUAGUGGCUACAGUCGGGAACAUGCUAAUACAACAUUUUGGAAGAGAUGGAGUGUAAUAUCUCUCAAGAAUUAUCUAAAUCUUGAAACUACCAUUCAUCAAAAUUUUGAUGGUAUGACUGAAUAGCGGGGGUAAAAUUCCACCUAACAAGAUGCUAAUCUAAUUAUCACAUUUGGUACAUAUGAGCAAGUGCACACUACUAGAGAAAACCUUAUAGGUGGAGGCUAAACAGUAGUGCGUGUCACUCCUACUUCACAGUAGCGCAUAUAGAAAUCCCACGCUACCGCUAUCUCUUUAGCAGUAGUGCGGGAAGGACGAACCACGUUGCUGCUACAUGGUCCCCACAAAAACCCACCAGACUAUGUAUAGUAGCAGCGUGACAUUCGGAACACAAACUACUCCUAAAGAGAUAGCAGUAGUACGGGGUGCAGACGCACCAUCGUAACUACGGUUGCAGUGUGCCACCUAGUGGACCCCACUUAACAGCGGUGUGACUUUCGCACACGCGCUACUGCUACUGCACUUUGUAGUAUCGCGUCUCCUAGAACCGCGUUGCUGCUAAGGCGCAGCUACCACCUUUUCCAAUCCCCUCCCCUCUCCCUCACUUGCUUCUCUCCCAUUACUACUAGCUUAGUUUUGUGCUCUCUUCCUUUUCCUACCUCUCUUCUAAUCCAACCCUUUCUCUUUUAAUGCCCCCACACCAUCUCCAUUAAUGCACCUCUAUCUCACUUCCUCAUUUUCUCUCCUUCCUCCACUAGUUAGAGCCAUCUUCUUCCCCAACUAGCUACAUCUACCCAUCUAAUGAAGUAACCUAUCCACCUCCCCAACUAGAUAUAUUCAUUUAAUGAAGUAAUUAAACAUCCUUGUCCACUUUUGACACCGAGCUCAUCACUGUGCUCUCUCCUCUCCUCUCUCUUGAUAAGUGAGUAAAAAAUUGUGCUUUGCAUGAAUGGAAAUAUGUGUGUGUGCGCGAUAUGACCGAAUCAGUGAUAUGAUGGAAAUUGUGCGUGUGACAAACUCUAUAUGUCCUAUUUUUGUGCGUGCGACAUGAGAGUUGCCUAUGUUUUGCUAAAAUGUCGAUUUAUUUCUGUUUUGACAAAUUUCGGGCAAACUCUAUAUGUCUUAUUUUUAGGGAAGGUCAUGCCGGAUUUUUUAUGACUUUGAUGCAUGCAUGCAUUUUUAUACUCCUUUUUCUUAUUUAUAUAGCGCAUACGAUCAUGAAGGUCAGUGGAACGAUGGUGGAAAGAUGGUUGCGAUCCGCGGUGCACAACAUGUAUGAAAUAACUGGGAGGAGAUUUUAUGUUCGUGUGGAAGAUUCAAAGGAGGAGUCUACUCGACCCCUUUAUGGAAAGUCGUUUGAAGGCGCACCUGCUCAUGACUGGUUUCAUGGAUAGUUAUGCUUGGUGGAUAAGUGAAGAUGAUGAGGCCGGACAUGGCGGCGGAUAAGAGGCUGGACAUGACGAUGGAGAAGUGGUUGAACAUGGUGGCAUAGAAGAGGUAGGACUUGGCGGCAGAGAAGAGGCCGUACAUGUCCGAGAAGACGCAAACACGUUGCAGCCUUCGUCGAUACUAAGUUCAAUCGUGCGGGACCUCAUAUUCAAGACCUUCUUUUCAAGAAGACGACUAACGACACAACUGCUUCUAGCGAGAAGGACAAGCUGGAGAAACUGGAGGUAGACUCGAAGACGCCACUGUAUGAUGGUUGCGAUCCGUAGGUGACCCGCUUGAGUUUCACGCUCAAACUUGUAAAUACGAAGGCUAAAAACAAAUGGACCGACAAAAACCUUGAUGAGCUUCUCAAGUAUAUAAAGAGGGUUCUUCCCAUGGGGAACCUGUGUCCUACCAGUGUCGAUGAGGACAAGAAGAUCGUGUGCCCUCUUGAUGUGACGCACAUUGAUACUAUUGGAAAUAUACCCUAGAGGCAAUAAUAAAAUGGUUAUUAUGAUAUUUCCUUGUUCAUGAUAAUCGUCUAUUGUUCAUGUUAUAAUUGUAUUAACAGGAAACAGUAAUACAUGUGUGAAUAAAUAGAUCACAAUGUGUCCCUAGCAAGCCUCUAGUUGGCUAGCUCGUUAGUCAAUAGAUGAUCAUGGUUUCCUGAUCAUGGGCAUUAGAUGUCAUUGAUAACGGGAUCACAUCAUUGGGAGAAUGAUGUGAUGGACAAGACCCAAUCCUAAGCAUAACACUAGAUUGUAUUGUUCGUUUGCUAAAGCUUUUCUAAUGUCAAGUGUCUUUUCCUUCGACCGUGAGAUUGUGCAACUCCCAGAUACCGUAGGAGUGCUUUGGGUGUAUCAAACGUCACAACGUAACUGGGUGACUAUAAAGGUGCACUACGGGUACCUCCGAAAGUGUCUGUUGGGUUGGUACGGAUCAAGAUCGGGAUUUGCCACUCCGUGUGACGGAGAGGUACCUCUGGGCCCACUCGAUAGAACAUCAUCAUGAGCUCAAUGUGACUAAGGAGUUAGUCACACGAUGACGUGCUACGAACGAGUGAAGAGACUUACCGGUAACGAGAUUGAACAAGGUAUAGGUAUACCGACGAUCGAAUCUCGGGCAAGUUCUAUACCGACAGACAAAGGGAAUUGUAUACGGGAUUGAUUGAAUCCUUGACAUCGUGGUUCAUCCGAUGAGAUCAUCGUGGAGCAAGUGGGAGCCACCAUGGGUAUCCAGACCCCGCUGAUGGUUAUUGGUCGGAGAGGUGUCUCGCUCAUGUCUGCCUGUCUCCCGAACCCGUAGGGUCUACACACUUAAGGUUCGAUGAUGCUAGGGUUAUAGGGAAUUGUUAUACGAGGUUAUCGAAAGUUGUUCGGAGUCCCGAAUGAGAUCCCGGACGUCAUGAGGAGCUCCGGAAUGGUCCGGAGGUAAAGAUUGAUAUAUAGGACGGAUGGUUUCGGACACCGGAAGUGUUUCGUGUUGGAAUUAUGCCCUAGAGGCAAUAAUAAAAGUAUAGUUAUUAUUAUAAUUCCUGUAUCAAGAUAAUAGUUUAUUAUCCAUGCUAUAAUUGUAUUGAAUGAAGACUCAUUUACAUGUGUGGAUACAUAGACAAAACACCGUCCCUAGCAUGCCUCUAGUUGGCUAGCCAGUUGAUCAAUGAUAGUCAGUGUCUUCUGAUUAUGAACAAGGUGUUGUUGCUUGAUAACUGGAUCACGUCAUUGGGAGAAUAACGUGAUGGACUAGACCCAAACUAAUAGACGUAGCAUGUUGAUCAUGUCAUUUUGUUGCUACUGUUUUCUGCGUGUCAAGUAUUUAUUCCUAUGACCAUGAGAUCAUAUAACUCACUGACACCGGAGGAAUGCUUUGUGUGUAUCAAACGUCGCAACGUAACUGGGUGACUAUGAAGAUGCUCUACAGGUAUCACCGAAGGUGUUAGUUGAGUUAGUAUGGAUCAAGACUGGGAUUUGUCACUCCGUAUGACGGAGAGGUAUCUCGGGGCCCACUCGGUAAUACAACAUCACACACAAGCCUUGCAAGCAAUGUAACUUAGUGUAAGUUGCGGGAUCUUGUAUUACGGAACGAGUAAAGAGACUUGCCGGUAAACGAGAUUGAAAUAGGUAUGCGGAUACUAACGAUCGAAUCUCGGGCAAGUAACAUACCGAAGGACAAAGGGAAUGACAUACGGGAUUAUACGAAUCCUUGGCACUGAGGUUCAAACGAUAAGAUCUUCGUAGAAUAUGUAGGAUCCAAUAUGGGCAUCCAGGUCCCGCUAUUGGAUAUUGACCGAGGAGUCUCUUGGGUCAUGUCUACAUAGUUCUCGAACCCGCAGGGUCUGCACACUUAAGGUUCGACGUUGUUUUAUGCGUAUUUUGAGCUAUAUGGUUGGUUACCGAAUGUUGUUCGGAGUCCCGGAUGAGAUCACGGACAUCACGAGGGUUUCCGGAAUGGUCCGGAAACGAAGAUUGAUAUAUAGGAUGACCUCAUUUGAUUACCGGAAGGUUUUCGGAGUUACCGGGAAUGUACCGGGAAUGACGAAUGGGUUCCGGGAGUUCACCGGGGGAGGGGGGGCAACUCACCCCGGGGAAGCCCAUAGGCAUUGGGGGAGUCACACCAGCCCUUAGUGGGCUGGUGGGACAGCCCACGAGUACCCACCAAUGCGCCAAGAGAAGAAAAAUCAAGAGGAAAGAAAAAAAGGGGAAGGAGGUGGGAAGGGAGGGGGACUCCUCCCACCAAACCAAGUCCAACUCGGUUUGGGGGGGGGAGUCCUCCCCCCCUUGGCUCGGCCGACUCCUUGGGGGUCCUUGGACCCCAAGGAAAGGCCCCCCUCCCUCCUCCUAUAUAUAUGGAGCAAUUAGGGCUGAUUUGAGACGACUUUCUCACGGCUGCCCGACCACAUACCUCCACGGUUUUUCCUCUAGAUCGCGUUUCUGCGGAGCUCGGGCGGAGCCCUGCUGAGACAAGGUCAUCACCAACCUCCGGAGCGCCGUCACGCUGCCGGAGAACUCUUCUACCUCUCCGUCUCUCUUGCUGGAUCAAGAAGGCCGAGAUCAUCGUCGAGCUGUACGUGUGCUGAACGCGGGGGUGCCGUCCGUUCGGUACUAGAUCGUGGGACUGAUCGCGGGAUUGUUCGCGGGGCGGAUCGAGGGACGUGAGGACGUUCCACUACAUCAACCGCGUUCUCUAACGCUUCUGCUGUACGAUCUACAAGGGUACGUAGAUCACUCAUCCCCUCUCGUAGAUGGACUUCACCAUGAUAGGUCUUCGUGCGCGUAGGAAAUUUUUUGUUUCCCAUGCGACGUUCCCCAAAAGUGGCAUCAUGAGCUAGGUUCAUGCAUAGAUGUAAUCUCGAGUAGAACACAAAGGGUUUUGUGGACGGUGAUGUUCGAUUUGCUGCCCUCCUUAGUCUUUUCUCGAUUCGGCGGUAUUGUUCGAUUGAAGCGACCCACACCGACAUUAUUCGUACGCUUACGAAAGACUGGUUUCACUGCUUGACAUGCAACCUCGUUGCAUAUGCUUACGAGAGACUGGUUUCAUCGUUACGAGUAACCCCCUUUGCUCAAAGAUGACUGGCAAGUGACGGUUUCUCCAACUUUAGUUGAGUCGGAUUUGACCGAGGAGGUCCUUGGAUGAGGUUAAAUAGCAACUCAUAUAUCUCCGUUGUGGUGUUUGCGUAAGUAAGAUGCGAUCCUACUAGACACCCUUGGUCACCACGUAAAACAUGCAACAACAAAAUUAGAGGACGUCUAACUUGUUUUUGCAGGGUAUGCUUGUGAUGUGAUAUGGCCAACGAUGUGAUGUGAUAUAUUGGAUGUAUGAGAUGAUCAUGUUGUAAUAGAUAAUAUCGACUUGCACGUCGAUGGUACGGCAACCGGCAGGAGCCAUAGGGUUGUCUUUAUACUAACGUUUGUGCUUGCAGAUGCGUUUACUAUUUUGCUAGGAUGUAGCUUUAGUAGUAAUAGCAUAAGUAGCACGACAACCCCGAUGGCAACACGUUGAUGGAUGAUCAUGGUGUGGCGCCGGUGACAAGUAGAUCGUGCCGGUGCUUUGGUGAUGGAGAUCAAGAAGCACGUGAUGAUGGCCAUAUCAUGUCACUUAUGAAUUGCAUGUGAUGUUAAUCCUUUUAUGCACCUUAUUUUGCUUAGAACGACGGUAGCAUUAUGAGGUGAUCUCUCACUAAAAUUUCAAGACGAAAUUGUGUUCUCCCCGACUGUGCACCGUUGCUACAGUUCGUCGUUUCGAGACACCACGUGAUGAUCGGGUGUGAUAGACUCAACGUUCACAUACAACGGGUGCAAAACAGUUGCGCACGCGGAACACUCGGGUUAAGCUUGACGAGCCUAGGAUGUGCAGACAUGGCCUCGGAACACAUGAGACCGAAAGGUCGAUCGUGAAUCAUAUAGUUGAUAUGAUUAGCAUAGGGAUGCUUACCACUGAAACUAUACUCAACUCACGUGAUGAUCGGACUUGGGAUAGUGUAAGUGGAUCAUGAACCACUCAAAUGACUAGAGAGAUGUACUUUUUGAGUGGGAGUUUAGCAUAUAAUUUGAUUAAGUUGAACUCUAAUUAUCUUGAACAUAGUCUAAGUCCACUUUGAAUAUAUUUGUGUUGUAGAUCAUGGCUCACGCGAUAGUCAUCCUGAAUUUUAAUACGUUCCUAGAGAAAGCUAAGUUGAAAGAUGAUGGAAGCAACUUUGUAGCCUGGGCUCGUAAUCUUAAGCUAAUCUUACAAGCUGGGAAGAAGGAUUAUGUCCUUAAUGCUGCGCUAGGAGAUGAACCACCCGCUACGGCUGAUCAGGAUGUUAAGAACGCUUGGUUAGCACGUAAGGAGGACUACUCAAUAGUUCAAUGUGCAGUCUUGUAUGGUUUAGAACCGGGACUUCAACGUCGCUUUGAGUGUCAUGGAGCAUUUGAGAUGUUCCAGGAGUUGGAGUUUAUCUUUCAGAAGAACGCCCGGAUCGAGAGGUAUGAGACCUCCGAUAAAUUCUAUGCUUGCAAGAUGGAGGAAAACUCGUCUGUCAGUGAACAUGUGCUCAAAAUGUCUGGGUACUCAAACCGUCUAGCUGAACUGGGGAUUGAACUCCCGCAAGAAGCUAUCACUGACAGAAUCCUUCAAUCACUGCCGCCAAGCUAUAAAGGCUUUGUGUUGAACUACAACAUGCAAGGGAUGAACAAGUCUCCCGGCGAGUUGUUUGCGAUGCUGAAAGUCACAGAGUUUGAACUCCGUAAAGAGCAUCAAGUGUUGAUGGUGAGCAAGACCACUAGUUUCAAGAGAAACGGCAAAGGCAAGAAGGGAAAUUCGAAGAAGAGCGGCAAGCCUGUUGCCAAUCCGCCGAAGAAACCCAAGGCUGGACCUAAGCCUGAAACAGAGUGCUUCUAUUGCAAGGGUAUGGGUCACUGGAAGCGCAAUUGCCCCAAGUAUCUGGCGGAUAAGAAGGCGGGCAAAGAAAAAUCAGGUAUAUUUGAUAUACAUGUUAUUGAUGUGUACUUAACCGGCUCUCGUAGUAGUGCCUGGGUAUUUGAUACCGGUUCUGUUGCUCACAUUUGCAACUCGAAGCAGGAACUGCGGAAUAGACGAAGGCUGGCGAAAGACGAAGUGACGAUGCGCGUAGGAAACGGUUCCAAGGUUGAUGCAAUCGCCGUCGGCACAGUGUCACUUCAGCUACCAUCGGGAUUAGUGAUGAACUUAAAUCAUUGUUAUUUAGUGCCUGCGUUGAGCAUGAACAUUAUAUCUGGAUCUUGUUUAUUGCGAGACAGUUACUCUUUUAAGUCUGAGAAUAAUGGUUGUUCAAUUUCUAUGAGUAACAUCUUUUAUGGUCAUGCACCGAAUGUGAGAGGAUUGUUCACAUUGAAUCUUGAUAGCGAUACGCAUAUACAUAACAUCGAGACCAAAAGAGUUAGAGUAAACAAUGAUAGCACCAUAUUUUUGUGGCACUGCCGUUUGGGUCAUAUUGGUGUAAAGCGCAUGCAGAAACUCCAUGCUGAUGGACUUUUGGAGUCACUUGACUUUGAGUCACUUGACACGUGCGAACCAUGCCUCAUGGGCAAGAUGACUAAGACUCCGUUCUCCGGAACAAUGGAGCGUGCAAGUGACUUGUUGGAAAUCAUACAUACAGAUGUGUGUGGUCCAAUGAGCAUAGAGGCACGCGGCGGAUAUCGUUAUUUUCUCACCUUCACUAACGAUUUAAGUAGAUAUGGUUAUGUCUACUUGAUGAAGCACAAGUCUGAAACAUUUGAAAAGUUCAAGCAAUUUCAGAGUGAAGUGGAAAAUCAUCGUAAUAAGAAGAUCAAGUUCCUACGGUCUGAUCAUGGGGGUGAAUAUCUGAGUUUCGAGUUUGGUGCUCACUUAAGACAAUGUGGAAUUGUUUCGCAGUUAACACCGCCUGGAACACCACAGCGUAAUGGUGUGUCCGAACGUCGUAAUCGUACUUUGUUAGAGAUGGUGCGAUCUAUGAUGUCUCUUACUGAUUUGCCGUUAUCAUUUUGGGGUUAUGCAUUAGAAACAGCUGCAUUCACUUUAAAUAGGGCACCAUCAAAAUCCGUUGAGACGACACCGUACGAACUGUGGUAUGGCAAAAGGCCAAAGUUGUCGUUUCUUAAAAUUUGGGGAUGUGAUGCUUAUGUCAAAAAGCUUCAGCCUGAAAAGCUGGAACCCAAAGCGGAAAAGUGCGUCUUCAUAGGUUACCCAAAAGAGACAGUUGGGUACACCUUCUAUCUCAAAUCCGAGGGCAAAGUGUUUGUUGCUAAAAACAGAGCUUUUCUCGAGAAGGAGUUUCUCUCGAGAGAAUUGAGUGGGAGGAAGAUAGAACUUGAUGAGGUUGUCGAACCUCUCAUCCCUCUGGAUGGUGGCGCAGGGCAAGGGGAAACCUCUGUCAUUGCGACGCCGGUUGAGGAGGAAGUUAAUGAUGAUGAUCAUGAAACUCCAGUUCAAGUUUCUGUUGAACCACGCAGGUCGACGAGAUCACGCGCUGCUCCAGAGUGGUACGGUAAUCCCGUCUUAUCAAUCAUGUUGUUAGACAACAAUGAACCUGCGAAUUAUGAAGAAGCAAUGGUGGGCCCAGAUUCCAACAAAUGGCUAGAAGCCAUGAAAUCCGAGAUAGGAUCCAUGUAUGAGAACAAAGUGUGGACUUUGGAGAUACUGCCUGAGGGCCGCAAGGCUAUUCAGAACAAAUUGAUCUUUAAGAAGAAAACGGACGCUGACGGUAAUGUGACCGUUUAUAAAGCUCGACUUGUGGCAAAGGGUUUUUCACAAGUUCCAGGAGUUGACUACGAUGAGACUUUCUCACCCGUAGCGAUGCUUAAGUCCGUCAGAAUCAUGUUAGCAAUAGCUACAUUUUUCGAUUAUGAAAUCUGGCACAUGGAUGUCAAAACGGCGUUCCUUAACGGUUUCCUUAAGGAAGUGUUGUAUAUGAUGCAACCCGAAGGUUUUGUCGAUCCUAAAAAUGCUGACAAGGUGUGCAAGCUCCAGCGAUCCAUUUAUGGACUGGUGCAAGCAUCUCGGAGUUGGAACAAACGCUUUGAUGAGGUGAUCAAAGCAUUUGGGUUUAUACAAGUGGUUGGAGAAUCUUGUAUUUACAAGAAAGUGAGUGGGAGCUCUGUGGCGUUUCUAAUAUUAUAUGUGGAUGACAUAUUACUGAUUGGAAACAACGUAGAGCUAUUGGAGAGCAUAAAAGGUUACUUGAAUAAAAGUUUCUCUAUGAAAAACCUAGGAGAAGCUGCUUACAUUCUAGGCAUUAAGAUCUAUAGGGAUAGAUCAAAAUGCCUGAUAGGACUUUCACAAAGCACAUACCUUGAUAAAGUUUUGAAGAGGUUCAAAAUGGAACAGUCCAAGAAAGGGUUCUUGCCAGUUUUACAAGGUACGAGAUUGAGUAAGACUCAGUGCCCAGCAACUGAUGAAGAUAGAGAGCAUAUGCGCUCCGUCCCCUAUGCUUCAGCCAUAGGUUCUAUCAUGUAUGCAAUGCUGUGCACUAGACCGGAUGUUAGCCUGGCCAUAAGUAUGGCAGGUAGGUUCCAGAGUAAUCCAGGAGUGGAUCACUGGACAGCGGUCAAGAAUAUCCUGAAGUACCUGAAAAGGACUAAGGAGAUGUUUCUCGUGUAUGGAGGUGACGAAGAGCUCGUCGUAAAAGGUUACGUCGAUGCAAGCUUUGACACAGAUCCGGACGACUCUAAGUCGCAGAACGGAUACGUAUUUAUUCUUAAUGGGGGUGCGGUAAGCUGGUGCAGUUCCAAGCAAAGCGUCGUAGCAGAUUCUACAUGUGAAGCAGAGUACAUGGCUGCCUCGGAGGCGGCUAAGGAGGGUGUCUGGAUGAAGCAGUUCAUGACGGAUCUUGGAGUGGUGCCAAGUGCACUGGAUCCAAUAACCUUGUUCUGUGACAACACUGGUGCCAUUGCCUUAGCAAAGGAACCAAGGUUUCACAAGAAGACCAGACACAUCAAACGACGCUUCAACCUCAUCCGCGACUACGUCGAGGAGGAGGACGUAAAUAUAUGCAAGGUGCACACGGAUCUGAAUGUAGCAGACCCGCUGACUAAACCUCUUCCACGGCCAAAACAUGAUCGACACCAGAACUGUAUGGGUGUUAGAUUUAUUACAAUGUAAUUCACAUGGUGAUGUGAGGGCUAGAUUAUUGACUCUAGUGCAAGUGGGAGACUGUUGGAAUUAUGCCCUAGAGGCAAUAAUAAAAGUAUAGUUAUUAUUAUAAUUCCUGUAUCAAGAUAAUAGUUUAUUAUCCAUGCUAUAAUUGUAUUGAAUGAAGACUCAUUUACAUGUGUGGAUACAUAGACAAAACACCGUCCCUAGCAUGUCUCUAGUUGGCUAGCCAGUUGAUCAAUGAUAGUCAGUGUCUUCUGAUUAUGAACAAGGUGUUGUUGCUUGAUAACUGGAUCACGUCAUUGGGAGAAUCACGUGAUGGACUAGACCCAAACUAAUAGACGUAGCAUGUUGAUCGUGUCAUUUUGUUGCUACUGUUUUCUGCGUGUCAAGUAUUUAUUCCUAUGACCAUGAGAUCAUAUAACUCACUGACACCGGAGGAAUGCUUUGUGUGUAUCAAACGUCGCAACGUAACUGGGUGACUAUGAAGAUGCUCUACAGGUAUCACCGAAGGUGUUAGUUGAGUUAGUAUGGAUCAAGACUGGGAUUUGUCACUCCGUAUGACGGAGAGGUAUCUCGGGGCCCACUCGGUAAUACAACAUCACACGCAAGCCUUGCAAGCAAUGUAACUUAGUGUAAGUUGCGGGAUCUUGUAUUACGGAACGAGUAAAGAGACUUGCCGGUAAACGAGAUUGAAAUAGAUAUGCGGAUACUGACGAUCGAAUCUCGGGCAAGUGACAUACCGAAGGACAAAGGGAAUGACAUACGGGAUUAUACGAAUCCUUGGCACUGAGGUUCAAACGAUAAGAUCUUCGUAGAAUAUGUAGGAUCCAAUAUGGGCAUCCAGGUCCCGCUAUUGGAUAUUGACCGAGGAGUCUCUUGGGUCAUGUCUACAUAGUUCUCGAACCCGCAGGGUCUGCACACUUAAGGUUCGACGUUGUUUUAUGCGUAUUUUGAGCUAUAUGGUUGGUUACCGAAUGUUGUUCGGAGUCCCGGAUGAGAUCACGGACGUCACGAGGGUUUCCGGAAUGGUCCGGAAACGAAGAUUGAUAUAUAGGAUGACCUCAUUUGAUUACCGGAAGGUUUUCGGAGUUACCGGGAAUGUACCGGGAAUGACGAAUGGGUUCCGGGAGUUCACCGGGGGAGGGGGGGCAACUCACCCCGGGGAAGCCCAUAGGCAUUGGGGGAGUCACACCAGCCCUUAGUGGGCUGGUGGGACAGCCCACGAGUACCCACCAAUGCGCCAAGAGAAGAAAAAUCAAGAGGAAAGAAAAAAAGGGGAAGGAGGUGGGAAGGGAGGGGGACUCCUCCCACCAAACCAAGUCCAACUCGGUUUGGGGGGGGGAGUCCUCCCCCCCUUGGCUCGGCCGACUCCUUGGGGGUCCUUGGACCCCAAGGCAAGGCCCCCCUCCCUCCUCCUAUAUAUAUGGAGCAAUUAGGGCUGAUUUGAGACGACUUUCUCACGGCUGCCCGACCACAUACCUCCACGGUUUUUCCUCUAGAUCGCGUUUCUGCGGAGCUCGGGCGGAGCCCUGCUGAGACAAGGUCAUCACCAACCUCCGGAGCUACGAGAUUGAGUAAGAAUCAGUGCAAACCAAGUCCAACUCGGUUUGGGGGGGGGAGUCCUCCCCCCCUUGGCUCGGCCGACUCCUUGGGGGUCCUUGGACCCCAAGGCAAGGCCCCCCUCCCUCCUCCUAUAUAUAUGGAGCAAUUAGGGCUGAUUUGAGACGACUUUCUCACGGCUGCCCGACCACAUACCUCCACGGUUUUUCCUCUAGAUCGCGUUUCUGCGGAGCUCGGGCGGAGCCCUGCUGAGACAAGGUCAUCACCAACCUCCGGAGCGCUGUCACGCUGCCGGAGAACUCUUCUACCUCUCCGUCUCUCUUGCUGGAUCAAGAAGGCCGAGAUCAUCGUCGAGCUGUACGUGUGCUGAACGGGGGGGUGCCGUCCGUCCGGUACUAGAUCGUGGGACUGAUCGCGGGAUUGUUUGCGGGGCGGAUCGAGGGACGUGAGGACGUUCCACUACAUCAACCGCGUUCUCUAACGCUUCUGCUGUACGAUCUACAAGGGUACGUAGAUCACUCAUCCCCUCUCGUAGAGGGACUUCACCAUGAUAGGUCUUCGUGCGCGUAGGAAAAUUUUUGUUUCCCAUGCGACGUUCCCCAACAUUUCGGGCGUCGCUGUAAUGUACCGGGGCCACCGGGACCACCGGGAGUGGCCCCGGGGUUCCACCGAAAGGGGGCCACGACCCCGGGAGGCUAGAUGGGCCAAGUGCGGGAGGGAACCAGCCCCUAGGUGGGCUGGUGUGCCCCCCACACUCAGCCCAAGGCGCAGGAGGUGGAGAGGGGGGGAAACCCUAGGCGCUGGUGGGCCUAAGGCCCACCUAGGGGUGCGCCACCCCUCCCCCGUGCCGUGGCCGCCGCACCUCCCAUCUGGGGGGGCUGCCGCACCACCUAGGGUGGGAACCCUAGGGGUGGCACCCCCUCCCCUCCUCAUAUAUAUAGUGGGGGUUUCGGGGCUGUUUUGCACACAAUUUUCCAUCUCCCUCGGCGCAGCCCUGCUCUUCUUUCUCCUCCUCUGUGCUGGUGCUUGGCGAAGCCCUGCCGGGAGACCUCGUCUCUCCACUGACACCACGCCGUCAUGCUGCCGGGGAUCUUCCCCAACCUCUCCCUCCUCCUUGCUGGAUCAAGGUGCGGGAGACGUGACCUGGCUGCACGUAUGUUGAACGCAGAGGUGCCGUGGUUCGGCACUAGAUCGGAAUCACACCGCAAUCUGAAUCGCCGCGAGUACGACUCCAUCAACCGCGUUCUAGCAACACUUCCACUUAGCGAUCUUCAAAGGUAUGAAUAUGCACUCGCCCUUCUGUCGUUGCUGGUCUCUCCAUAGGAAGAUCUGAAUAUGCGUAGGAAUUGUUUUGAAUUUAUGCGACGUUUCCCAAUAGUGGCAUCCGAGCCAGGCUUUCUAUGCGUAGAUUCUAUGCAUGAGUAGAACACAAAAGGUUGUGGGCGAUGAUUUGUCAAUUGCUUGCCGCAACUAGUCUUAUUCUUUUCCGGCGGUAUUGUGGGAUGAAGCGGCCCGGACCGACAUUACACAUACGCUUACGUGAGACUGGUUCCACCGACAGACAUGCACACCGUGCAUAAAGGUGGCUAGCGGGUGUCUGUCUCUCCUACUCUAGUCGGUUUGGAUUUGAUGAAAAGGGUCCUUAUGAAGGGUAAAUAGCUUUGGCAUAUUAUCGUUGUGGCUUUCACGUAGGUAAGAAAGCAUUCUUGUUAGAAACCCAAAUCAGCCACGUAAAACUUGCAACAACAAUUAGAGGACAUCUAACUUGUUUUUGCAGGGUUUGACAUGUGGUGUGAUAUGGCCAAAGUUGUGAUGUUGCAUGUAUGAUGUAUGAGAUGAUCAUGUUAUUGUAAUAGGUUUCACGACUUGCAUGUCGAUGAGUAUGACAACCGGCAGGAGCCAUAGGAGUUAUCUUAAUUUAUUGUAUGAGAUGCAACGCCAUGUGCUUACUACUUUUACUUCAUUGCUAACGGUUAGCUAUAGUAGUAGUGAUAGUAGUAGUUGGCGUGACGAGUUCACGGAGACACGAUGAUGGAGAUCAUGGUGUCACGCCGGUGACAAUGAUGAUCAUGCGAUGCCUGAAGAUGGAGAUCGAAAGAGCAAAGAUGAUAAUGGCCAUAUCAUGUCACUAUAUGAUUGCAUUGUGAUGUUUAUCAUGUUUUUCAUCUUAUUUCUUAGAACGAAGGUAGCAUAAUAAGAUGACCCCUCUUAAAAUUUUGAGAACGUAUUCCCCUAAGUGUGCACCGUUGCGAAGGACCGUUGUCUUGAAGCACCACGUGAUGAUCGGGUGUGAUAGAUUCUAACGUUCGCAUACAACGGGUGUAAGCCAGAUUUACACAUGCAAAACACCUAGGUUGACUCGACGAGCUUAGCAUGUACAGACAUGACCUCGAAUAAAAGAUACCGAAAGGUCGAACAUGAUUCGUAUGGUUGAAUACGAUCAGCAUGAAGUUGCUCACCAUGGUGACUAGUCCGUCUCACGUGAUGAUCGGAUACGGGUUAGUCAACAUGGAUCAUGUAUCACUUAGAUGACUAGAGGGAUGUCGAUUUAAGUGGGAGUUCAUACUUAACUUGAUUAAAUGAACUUAAUUGUCAUGAACUUAGUCUAAAAGGUUGUCUUUAUAAAUAUUGUAGAUGGCCAACGUCAACCUCAAUUUCAACGCAUUCCUAGAGAAAAACAAGCUGAAAGAUGAUGGUAGCAACUAUGCGGACUGGGUUCGCAACUUGAAGCUCAUCCUUGAAGUAGCUAAAAAGGCUUAUGUCCUUGAUGCACCGCUAGGUGACCCUCCCGCUCCCGCAGCAGCCCAGGACAUUCUGAACGUCUGGCAAACGCGGAGUGAUGACUACUCUCUGGUUAGGUGUGGCAUGUUAUACAGUUUAGAAACGGGGCUCCAAAGGCGUUUUGAGCAACACAGUGCAUAUGAGAUGUUCCAAGAGCUGAAGCUAGUUUUUCAAGCUCAUGCCCGUGUCGAGAGAUAUGAUUUCUCCGACAAGUUAUUUAGCUGUAAGAUGGAGGAGAACAGUUCUGUCAGUGAGCACAUGUCACGCCCAAGAUGCGACCCUAUCCUCAAUUUGGCACGAGGGCCUCGUCAGGGAUAGAAGCGCAUCUCGUCGUGUCGCAAGAAUGGAUAUCGUUACAAGUACAUGUACUGAGAAGAAUAGAUAUAUAUAAAGAAUUGGCUUACACUCGCCACAUGCUACAUCAGAGUCACAUCAGUACAUUACAUAAUCAUCAAGAGUAAGAGCAGGGUCCGACUACGGACGAAAACAAACGAGAAAAUAAGAACGACGUCCAUCCUUGCUAUCCCAGGCUGCCGGCCUGGAACCCAUCCUAGAUCGAUGAAGAAGAAGAAGAAGAAGCAACUCCAAAUGUACAAUCAACGCGCUCGCGUAAAGUAACCUUUACCUGUACCUGCAACUGGUGUUGUAGUAAUUUGUGAGCCACAGGGGACUCAGCAAUCUCAUUUCCAAAGGUAUCAAGACUAGCAAAGCUUAAUGGGUGAGGUAUGGUUAAGUGGUGAGGUUGCAGCAGCGGCUAAGCAUAUAUUUGGUGGCUAAACUUACGAGUACGAGAAAAUAAGAGGGGGAGGAUCUACGCAUAGCGGACGGGAACUACGGAUGAUCAAAGAAUGAUCCUGAACACCUACCUACGUCAGACAUAACCCCACCGUGUCCUCGAUCGGAGAAGGAACUCACGAAAGAGACAGUCACGGUUACACACACAGUUGGUAAGUUUUAAUUAAGUUGACUUCAAGUUAUCUAGAACCAGUGUUAAACAAAGUUUCCACGUUGCCACAUAACCGCGGGCACGGCUUUUCGAAAAGAUUUAACCCUGCAGGGGUGCUCCAACUAGUCCAUCACAAAUUACCACAAGCCGCAUAGAAAUCCUCAAUCACGAUGCUCGCGAUCUCGUUGGAUUCCCUAGUGGAAAACCUCAACUCUGAGAUUACCCAAAGCAUCACCGAAAUCCCGAUGCACAAGAUAUCUCGUCAAAGGUAAAACUAAUCUAGCAAGGCCGCCCGACGUGUCGACGAUCCCGAUAGGAGUCGCGUACCUCGUUCUCAGGACACGACGGAUGAGCGAUGGUUACCUUGCCAAACGCCGAGUUGCCCCUGGUAGCGUUAAUAAGCUGCUCUGUUUUGGACCAACACUCAUGAGGAGCACUGGCCCGGGGGUUGAUUAAAUUAUCCUCGGGGCCCGGGGAGUCCCUAUGCAAUUUUAUUAGGUGAUUAGGCAAAUGUAGUACCAAUGUUGGGCCUUGCCAGACCAACUUUAAUCUAAAACGAAUUAUCAAGGGGGUCCCCAUAACAACCCCGAUCGUGUUAGGAGCGCUCGUUUAUGGAACAUAACACCGGUAGCCGGAAACUAAGGGGGCAAAGGUGGAACAAAACACCAGGCUAGAAAGGCCGAGCCUUCCACCUUUUACCAAGUAUAUAGGUCCAUUAUAUUAAAUAACAUUAAUAAGGUGAUAUAACAAGGAACCCAUGUUUUCGCAUGGAAGCAUCUGCACCUGCAACUAGCAACGCUAUCAACAGGGUUAAGCAAGCAGUAACAUAGCCAAUCAGUGGUUUGCUAGGUUGAACAGGUUGAAGGUUUUCAUGGCAUUGUUGAGAGGUUAAUAUUUAACAGGUGGUAGGCAACGAGACAUAAUCGACAGCAUCGAAAUAACUGGCAUGGCAAUGAUAGUAAUGGUAUCUGGGGAAAUGAUCAUCUUGCCUGAGAUCCCGCUUGGAAGAAGAAUGCCUCCGAGAAGCAGACGAACCGAUGUAGUCGAACGGGUCCUCACAAUCCGGCACGCGUGCGGAGCUCUAUCGAGACGAAUCAAAUCGGAACACAAAUCAACACACGGAAUUCACCACACGAUGCACAACACAAAUGAUGCAUGAACAGCUGAAUACAUGCAAGUCACGGCAUGACCAAUCACACAUUCAAACACUACACAUUAAGUGAAGUUCAAUAUGCAACGAGUUGCAUAUUGACGAAACUCCACGUUACUAUUUAGUUCUAUCCCGAUUAGAUACACGGCAAUAUUAAAUGUGAUUAAACAUGGCAAGAGGUGAAGCGCAAUUAAACUACCUAUCUAGGCAUUUUAAAUGAGGUCGGAAAUGACAUAUAGCACCUACGAGACGACCUCACAUGUUACUUUACAAUUCUGUCCAGAUCUGAACUAAUGCAUUUAAUUAGUAGUUAAACAGCAAACAAAUAGGUUCACGUGAUUAUACGCGUCAUUUCAAGCAAUCUACACAUAAAAAACAUCUCCAACGGAGCUACGGUUCAAAAGAUACAAGCACCGUAAGAUAUGAUGGCAUGAAUGCAAUAUGUGUGCAACGGCGGUCACAAGCACUUCAAAACAUACAUCCCGCAAGAUAAAAUGAAAUUACACGAGAUUCUAAGCAAGUUUUAUGUAGGACACGAUCAAAUCGGAGCUACGGUUCAACAACUACGAGCAAAAUAAGAAAUGACUACAAUCUGCCAAAAUCAGCCACAUAGCAUAUUCUACACCCCUCAACUACGAGCUACACAACUCCGAUAAACUCAAGCAAGGCAUGACACGAAAGAGGGCAAGAAGCACUACUACAACCAACUAACAACAACUAGCAUGGCAUCAUGGAUCACUAGGGAAAUAAAACACAAAAUGGCAUCCCACACACUAUUUCAGACUUAGUGAAAAUAACACCUCGUGAAAGUGCAGUUUUCAAUCUGAAGCAAUAUUGACAGCAGCAAAAUCUAUAGCUACAGGACUUCAAAUGGCAUGAAAAUUUACAGCAUGCUAGAGAAACACAAGGGGUACAACUAACUCCAUUGGACCAACCUCAAAAGAGCUACAAAUCACAAGAUGCAAGAAAGAUAAGACAACAACAAAAUAAUAACAGAUCCCAGACUUAGAAAUAUUUCAGCACGUCCAAAACAGCACUAUUUCUAGCAACUUGAGGGCAAUCAAAACACACCUAAACAUGCAUUUCUAUUGCAACUAAAAAUACCAGGGGCUAGUCUAAACACCCAAGAACAACUUCCUAGUUGACAACUCCUUCAAACGAAGCACGGAAUAAAUCCUACGAAUUAAACAAAAGGGCAUCACGGCAAAAUAUCGCGCGAACUAACUUGCUCUAAUGCUAAAACUAAUUGCACAGAAAAAUCCCAUGGAUUUUCUACCCCGAAAGCAUAUAAAAUAUGUGGGGUUGCAACACCAAAUAAAGCCACACAUAAAUGCGGGAAAAUAACCUAUAUACGGGAAAAAUAAACUAGAGGCAAUUCCCUANNNNNNNNNNNNNNNNNNNNNNNNNNNNNNNNNNNNNCUACACGCAAAAAUACAAAUGACCGCUCUAAAAUGCAUGGGAAAAUGGUCCCUAAAACAUGGGCAUAUUACCUAAGGCACUCGAGCAAUCCGGACCGCAAGAAAAAUAAAUACGGGACGUUGCCCUAUUGGGACAACACGCUAAACUAGGCAUUUGGCACGUAAAACUAUGUCAAAUAAUUAUGCAAGUCUUAUAAUUGGGUUCUACGCGAGAAACUACACGUGUUACAUCUAUAAUACUCUCCGAUCCGACACACGGAUUUAAAACUACACGCGUUUGAAAAUAUGCCCUUUUCUGAAAAAGAAUUAAAUAGCCAAAAUUAAUAAAAUCCUACGCGGGCCAGAUCUGGCUAUAGGGACGAAACUAAGCAUUGGCGCCACAUACUAAUACUACGCACAUGCGAACAAAAUAAAGGGGCGCAGCGGGGCUCACCUUGGGGCCUUGGCGUGGCUGGAGGCCGAGCUGGCCGAAUGUGGCCUGGCUCGGGGGCGAGCUGGGCCGGCCUGGGCGGUGCGCGACAGGGGGGGCCGAACUGGGCCGAAGGAGGCCGGUUCGGGGUCGCGGCUGGAGCGGGCCCACCUGUUCGGCGCGGGGAUGGCGCGGUCAACGCGGGCGGUUCCCUCGUCUCCCUCCCGAGACACGCAGGAGCGGCGGCAGCGACUGGGGCGAACGCCGGUGAAGGGGCAGAGCCGGCACACGAGGAAGACUAGGUCCCGCGGCCAUGGGCGGAUCCGGGUGGGAAGGAUCCGUUCCGGGCGACGCAGCUCGAGGCGGCAUCGCAUGGCGGCGCGACGCGACAGGAAGGCUCACACUCAGGGGCGCGCUGGGGCGGUGGCUGCCGGCAGGAACGAGGCGGGGCCCUCCAGUGGCGGCGGCUCCUCCGGUGGAACUCCGUCGCAGGCUGUGAGGGACGACUGCGCUCGGCUCGGCACCCUGGAGGCGAGGGGGCAGCGACCAGGAGCUCGGGAGGCAGGGAGGAGCCAGCGGCGGCUGGUGCUGCACGGUCCAGAUCGGGCCCGGGCGGGCUGGUUGCGGGCUCGUGGACCCAGCGGCGCGAGGAGAAGGUGGAAGGCUGGCUGGCUAGGGGUAGGGCGCUGAAAACGAGGAGAGGGAGGAUUCACUGUCCAUUUAUAGAAGGAAAGGGCUAGGCUUAGGGUUUCGGGCGUUUUCGGACCCUCCGAUUGAGAUCGGACGCUCCAGAAACAUCCUAGGGUUAGGUGGGUUAGGUUUAGGCCGUGUAGAGGGGUGUUGGCUAUGACGAGAGGUUAACGGGCUCCCGGCAACGAAUUUAAAAACACCGACAAACGUCCGACGAAUAACCGGAGACGAUGCCGCUACGGUCGACCGUUCGGGUACCAGAUGAACUCCGAUCGCGACGAAAUUCGACAGGCGGCCUGGCUAUAUUAAAAUAAGACCGUACGUCAAAUCUCAACCCGAUCAGAGAAAGUUUUACGCACACUGUAAAAACAGGGUUUUGACGGUGCCGCGGGCGCGUGCGUUUGCGGUCGGACUCAGAACGGACAACGACGAGAACCGGCAACUAAACAACGGAUGCAAGUUUUGAAAACUGGCGGCAACGGGGUGCCGAUGCAAUGUUGAUGAUGCGCAUGAUGCGAUGAUGAUGCGACAAAAGAAAAUAGACACACGACGAAAACGGAAAGAAAAAGGGGAAUCUUGUGGACCGUCGGUCUCGGGCUGUCACAACACAUACUCAAAAUGUGUGGGUUACACGGUCGUCUGACUUCACUUGGAAUCGAACUUCCGGAUGAUGCUAUACUUGACAGAAUCCUCUAGUCUCUCCCACCAAGCUACAAAGGUUUUGUGCUGAACUACAACAUGCAAGGGAUGGAGAAGACCAUUCCCGAGUUGUACUCGAUGCUCAAGUCUGCAGAAGUAGAAAUCAAGAAAGAGCAUCAAGUGUUGAUGGUCAACAAGACCACUAGUUUCAAGAAGGGCAAGGGUAAGAAGAACUUCAAGAAAAACGGCAAAGCCAUUGCCGCGCCCGGUAAGCUAGAUGCCGGGAAGAAGAAAAAGAAUGGACCCAAGCGUGAGACUGAGUGCUUCUAUUGCAAGGGAAAGGGUCACUGGAAGCGGAACUGCCCCAAAUACUUAGCGGACAAGAAGGCCACAACGUUAAAGGUAUAUGUGAUAUACAUGUUAUUGAUGUGUACCUUACCAGCGCUCGUAGUAGCUCCUGGGUAUUUGAUACCGGUGUUGUUGCUCACAUUUGCAACUCAAAGCAGGAACUUCGGAAUAAGCGGAGACUGGCCAAGGACGAGGUGACGAUGCGUGUCGGGAAUGGCUCCAAGGUCGAUGUGAUCGCCGUCGGCACGCUACCUCUACAUCUACCGUCGGGAUUAGUUUUAAACCUUAAUAAUUGUUAUUUAGUACCAGCUUUGAGCAUGAAUAUUGUAUCAGGAUCUUGCUUAAUGCGAGACGGCUACUCAUUUAAGUCAGAGAAUAAUGGUUGUUCUAUUUAUAUGAGUGAUAUGUUUUAUGGUCAUGCUCCGCUGGUGAAUGGUUUAUUCUUGAUGAAUCUCAAUCGUGAUGUUACGCAUAUUCAUAGUGUGAGUACCAAAAGAUGUAAAGUUGAUAAUGAUAGUCCCACAUACUUGUGGCACUGCCGCCUUGGUCAUAUCGGCGUUAAGCGCAUGAAGAAGCUCCAUACUGAUGGACUAUUAGAGUCUCUUAACUUUGAAUCAUUUGACACAUGCGAACCAUGCCUCAUGGGCAAGAUGACUAAGACUCCAUUCUCAGGUAUAAUGGAGAGAGCAACCGACUUAUUGGAAAUAAUACAUACUGAUGUGUGUGGUCCAAUGAACGUGGAAGGUCGCGGUGGCUAUCGUUAUGUUCUCACUCUCACCGAUGAUUUGAGUAGGUAUGGGUAUAUCUACUUGAUGAAGCACAAAUCUGAGACAUUUGAAAAGUUCAAGGAAUUUCAGAGUGAGUUCGAGAAUCAACGUGACAGAAAAAUUAAUUGUCUACGAUCUGAUCGUGGAGGAGAAUAUUUGAGUCACGAGUUUGGCACACACCUAAGGAAGUGUGGAAUCGCUUCACAACUCACGCCGCCUGGCACACCACAACGCAACGGAGUGUGUGAACGUCGUAAUCGCACUUUAUUAGAUAUGGUACGAUCUAUGAUGUCUCUUACCGACUUACCGCUAUCAUUUUGGGGAUACAUAUUAGAAACUGCAGCAUUCACUUUAAAUAGGGCACCGUCUAAGUCCGUUGAGACGACACCGUAUGAACUAUGGUUUGGCAAGAAACCUAAGUUGUCGUUUCUUAAAGUUUGGGGCUGCGAUGCUUAUGUGAAGAAACUUCAACCAGAGAAGCUCGAACCCAAAGCGGAGAAAUGCGUAUUCAUAGGAUACCCUAAGGAAACUAUUGGGUAUACCUUCUAUCUUAGAUCCGAAGGUCAAAUCUUUGUUGCCAAGAACGGAUCCUUUCUAGAGAAAGUUUCUCUCGAAAGAAGUUAGUGGGAGGAAGGUAGAACUUGAUGAGGUAAUUACACCCCCUCUCGAACAGGAAAGUAGCGCAGCGCGGGAAGUUGUUCCUGUGGCGCCUGCACCAACUGAAGAGGAAGUUAAUGAUAAUGAUCAUGAAGCUUCGGAUCAAGUGACUACUAAACCGCGAAGGUCCACAAGGGCACGCUCCGCACCAGAGUGGUACGACAACCCUGUGAUGGAAAUCAUGUUGUUAGACAACAGUGAACCUUCGAACUAUGAAGAAGUGAUGGCGGGCCCGGAUUCCAACAAAUGGCUUGAAGCUAUGAAAUCCGAGAUAGGAUCCAUGUAUGAGAACAAAGUAUGGACUUUGGUGGACUUGCCCGAUGACCGGCGAGCCAUAGAAAAUAAAUGGAUCUUCAAGAAGAAGACUGAUGCAAACGGUAAUGUAACCAUUUAUAAAGCUCGACUUGUCGCAAAGGGUUUUCGACAAAUUCAAGGAAUUGACUACGAAGAGACUUUCUCUCCCGUAGCGAAGCUGAAAUCAGUCCGAAUCAUGUUAGUAAUUGCCGCCUUUUAUGAUUAUGAAAUUUGGCAAAUGGACGUCAAAACAGCGUUCCUUAACGGGAACCUUAAGGAAGAGUUGUAUAUGAUGCAACCAGAAGGAUUUGUCGGCCCUAAGGGUGCUAACAAAGUGUGCAAGCUCUAGCGAUCCAUCUAUGUGCUGGUGCAAGCAUCUCGGAGUUGGAACAUUCGCUUUAAUGAGGUGAUUAAAGCGUUUGGGUUCAUACAGGUUUAUGGAGAAGCCUGUCUGUACAAGAAAGUGAGUGGGAGCUCUGUAGCUUUCCUCACACAUGUAUGUGGAUGACAUAUUAUUGAUGGGGAAUAAUAUAGAGAUGUUGGAGAGCAUAAAGGCCUAUUUGAACAAGAGUUUUUCAAUGAAGGACCUUGGAGAAGCUGCAUACGUAUUAGGCAUCAAGAGCUAUAGAGAUAGAUUGAGACGCCUCAUAGGUCUUUCGCAAAGUACAUACCUUGACAAGAUAUUGAAGAAGUUCAAUAUGGAAAACUCAAAGAAAGGGUUCUUGCCAGUUUCGCAAGGUGUGAGAUUGAGUAAGACUCAGUCGCCGACCACGGCAGCAGAUAGAGAGAAGAUGAGUACUGUCCCCUACGCUUCAGCCGUAGGCUCUCUUAUGUAUGCCAUGCUAUGUACCAGACCUGAUAUAAACCUUGCCAUAAGUUUGGUAGGGAGGUACCAAAGUGAUCCCGGUAUGGAACACUGGACAGCGGUCAAGAAUAUCCUUAAGUACCUGAAAAGGACUAAGGAAAUGUUUCUCGUUUAGGAAGGUGACGAAGAGCUCGUCGUAAAGGGUUACUUCGACGCUAGCUUCGACACAGAUCCGGAUGACUUUAAGUCACAGACCAGAUACGUAUAUGUUUUGAAUGGUGGGGCAGUGAGCUGGUGCAGCAGCAAGCAAGAAGUCAUGGCAGCAUCUACAUGUGAAGCGGAGUACGUAGCUGCUUCAGAAGCGGCUCAUGAAGGAAUUUGGAUGAAGGAGCUCAUCACCGACCUUGGAGUGGUUCCAAGCGCGUCGGGUCCAAUGACGCUUUUCUGUGAUAACACUCGGGCCAUUGCCAUAGCCAAGGAGCCCAGGUUUCACCGAAAGAUGAAGCACAUCAAACGCCGCUAUAACUCCAUCCAGGACCAUGUCCAGAGUGGAGUAAUAGAGAUUUGUAAAGUACACACGGAUCUGAAUGUUGCAGACCCGUUGACUAAACCUCUUCCACGAGCAAAACAUGAUCAACACCAUAAUGCUAUGGGUGUUCGAUACAUCACAACGUAACUAGAUUAUUGACUCUAGUGCAAGUGGGAGACUGUUGGAAAUAUGCCCUAGAGGCAAUAAUAAAAUGGUUAUUAUCAUAUUUCCUUUUUCAUGAUAAUCGUCUAUUGUUCGUGCUAUAAUUGUGUUAGCAGGAAACAAUAAUACAUGUGUGAAUAAAUAGAUCACAAUGUGUCCCUAGCAAGCCUCUAGUUGGCUUCCUCGUUAGUCAAUAGAUGAUCAUGGUUUCCUGAUCAUGGGCAUUAGAUGUCAUUGAUAACGGGAUCACAUCAUUGGGAGAAUGAUGUGAUGGACAAGACCCAAUCCUAAGCAUAACACUAGAUCGUAUUGUUCGUAUGCUAAAGCUUUUCUAAUGUCAAGUGUCUUUUCCUUCGACCGUGAUAUUGUGCAACUCCCGGAUACCGUAGGAGUGCUUUGGGUGUAUCAAGUCACAACGUAACUGGGUGACUAUAAAGGUGCACUACGGGUACCUCCGAAAGUGUUUGUUGGGUUGGUACGAAUCGAGAUCGGGAUUUGUCACUCCGUGUGACGGAGAGGUAUCUCUGGGCCCACUCGGUAGAACAUCAUCAUGAGCUCAAUGUGACUAAGGAGUUAGUCACACAAUGACGUGCUACGGAAUGAGUAAAGAGACUUACCGGUAACGAGAUUGAACAAGGUAUAGGUAUACCGACGAUCGAAUCUAGGGCAAGUUCUAUACCGACAGACAAAGGGAAUUGUAGCCGGGAUUGAUUGAAUCCUUGACAUCGUGGUUCAUCCGAUGAGAUCAUCAUGGAGCAAGUGGGAUCCACCAUGGGUAUCUAGACCCCGCUGAUGGUUAUUGGCCGGAGAGGUGUCUCGGUCAUGUCUGCCUGUCUCCCGAACCCAUAGGGUCUACACACAUAAGGUUUGAUGACGCUAGGGUUAUAGGGAAAUGUUAUACGAGGUUAUCGAAAGUUGUUCGGAGUCCCGGAUGAGAUCCCGGACGUCACGAGGAGCUCCGGAAUGGUCCGGAGGUAAAGAUUGAUAUAUAGGACGGAUGGUUUCGGACACCGGAAGUGUUUCGGGCGUCGCCAAUAACGUACCGGGACCACCGGGACCACCUGGAGUGGCCCCGAGGGUCCACCGGAAGGGGGCCACGACCCCGGGAGGCUAGAUGGGCCAAGUGCGGAAGGGAACCAGCCCCUAGGUGGGCUGGUGCGCCCCCCACACUCAGCCCAAGGCGCACGAGGUGGAGAGGGGGGGGGGAACCCUAGGCGCUCGUGGGCCUAAGGCCCACCUAGGGGUGCGCAACCCCUCCCCCCUGCCGUGGCCGCCGCACCUCCCAUCUAGGGGGGGGGGGCUGCCGCACCACCUAGGGUGGGAACCCUAGGGGUGGCACCCCCCUGCCCUCCUCCUAUAUAUAGUGGGGGUUUCGGGGCUGUUUUGCACACACUUUUCCAUCUCCCUCGGCGUAGCCCUGCUCUUCUUUCUCCUCCUCUGUGUCGGUGCUUGGCGAAGCCCUGCCGGGAGACCUCGUCUCUCCACCGACACCACGCCGUCGUGCUUCCGGAGAUCUUCCCCAACCUCUCCCUCCUCCUUGCUGGAUCAAGGUGCGGGAUAUGUCACCGGGCUGCACGUAUGUUGAAUGCGGAGGUGCCGUGGUUCGGCACUAGAUCGGAAUCACACCGCGAUCUGAAUCGCCGCGAGUACGACUCCAUCAAUCGCGUUCUAGCAAUGCUUCCGCUUAGCGAUCUUCAAAGGUAUGAAGAUGCACUCCCCCUUCUCUCGUUGCUGGUCUCUCCAUAGGAUGAUCUGAAUAUGCGUAGGAACUUUUUUGAAUUUAUGCUACGUUUCCCAAUAGAUACAUCUCCAACGUAUCUAUAAUUUUUUAUGGUUCCAUGCUAUUAUUUUGUCAUCUUUGGAUGUUUUGUAAGCAUGAAUAUGCUAUUUUAUAUCUUUUUUUGGGACUAACCUAUUAACUCAGUGCCAAUUGUCAGUUCCUAUCUUUUUCCGUGUUUUUGACGUUUUUCAGAGGAGAAUAUUGAACGGAGUCCAAACGGAAUUAAACCCGCGGAAUGAUUUUUUCCAUAACAGAAGACACGCAUGAGACUUGAGAACCAAGGCAAGGACCUCGGAGGAGGUCACAAGCCACCCAGGCCCGACCGGGGGGGGGCAAGCAGGCUUGUGGGCCCCCUAUGGCUCCCCUGCCCUAGUUCUUCCGCCUAUAAAUUCCCUAAAAAUCUGAAACCACGGAAGAGAGACACGAAAAUACUUUUCCUCCGCCGCAAGCUUCUAUCUCCGCAAGAUCCCAUCUCGGGCACGUUGUGGUGCCCUGCCGGAGGGGGAUUCGGACACAGAGGGCUUCUUCAUCAACACCAUUGCCUCUCCGAUGAUGCAUGAGUAGUUCACCAUAGACCUUCGGGUCCAUAGCUAGUAGCUAGAUGGCUUCUUCUUUCUCUUGGAUCUUCAAUACAAAGUUCUCCAUGGUCUUCAUGGAGAUCUAUCCGAUGUAAUCUUUUUUGCGGUGUGUUUGUCGAGAUCCGAUGAAUUGUGGAUUUAUGAUCUGAUUAUCUAUGAAUGUUAUUUGAGUCUCCUCUGAUCUCUUAUAUGCAUGAUUUCGUAUCCUUGUAAUUCUCUUCGAGUUGUGGGUUUCGUUUGGCCAACUUGAUCUAUAAUUCUUGCAAUGGGAGAAGUGCUUGGUUUUGGGUUCAUACCGUGCGGUGACCUCACCCAGUGACAGAAGGGGUAGCGAGGCACGUAUCGUGUUGUUGCCAUCAAGGGUCAAAGGAUGGGGUUUAUAUCUAUUGCAUGAAUUUAUCUCUCUACAUCAUGUCAUCUUGCUUAAGGUGUUACUCCAUUUGUCAUGAACUUAAUACACUAGAUGCAUGCUGGAUAGCGGUCGAUGUGUGGAGUAAUAGUAGUAGAUGCAGAAAGUAUCGGUCCACUUGUCUCGGACGUGAUGCCUAUAUGUAUGAUCAUUGCCUUAGAUAUCAUCAUGACUUUGCCCGGUUCUAUCAAUUGCUCGACAGUAAUUCGUUCACCCACCGUAAUACUUUCUAUCAUGACACAAGCCUCUAGCGAACACUAUGGCCCUCGGGUCUACUUCACAUCAUAUUUUCAGCUUUACACUUUUACUUUGUUGGACUUUCCACCUUCAAAUCUCACCUUGCAGUUAACCAUGAAGGGAUUGACAACCCCUUUUGUAGCGUUGGGUGCAAGUUUGCUUGUUUUUGCGCAGUUACUUUGGAGACUUGCCUUGAUACUCCUACUGGAUUGAUACCUUGGUUCUCAAACUGAGGGAAAUACUUACUGCUACUGUGCUGCAUCACCCUUUCCUCUUCAAGGGAGAAACCAACGCAAGCUCAAGAGGUAGCGAGAAGAAUUUCUGGCGCCGUUGCUGGGGAGGAUCAAGUCAAGAAUAGUCUUCCUCCAACGUGUCAAUUUCUGGCACCGGGGACUAUUCUAAGUGAAGCUUAUCCAAGUAACCGUCGCAAACUCAUCUUUUGCAUUUACCUUUUUUGACUCUCGUUUUCCUCUCCCCCACUUCUGAAAAAAAUUUACAAAAAUAUUUGCCUUUUUCGUUUGCCUUUCCUUUGCUUGUUUGCUAUGUGCCUUCAAUAUGCUUGCAUCUUCGCUUGCUGAAAAUCUAUUGAUAUGGAUCCUCAUCCAAUUGCUAAUCUCUUUAAGAGAUCCAAUUAUGUUGAGUGCCCUUGACUAUCUUUAUCGAGUUUUGCUUGAGAUGCGUGAAUCUGAAAAUCGUGAUGAAGAAAUUUAUGAAGUGAUUCACGGGGGCUCCUUGAAUGAAAAGCAUGAUUGCAAUGGUUUCACUAUAAAUCCUAUUAGUGUCAUCCAUGCUAAAAAUAUGCAAAACCCUAAGAUUGGGGAUGCUAGUUUUGUUAUGUCCACUACUUGUUGCAAUGAUCGUGAUUGGGGCGAUGAUUUUUCUUAUGAUCUUGAAAAUUUGUUUAAGCCUCAUGAUGAAUAUGAUAUUUGCAUUAAGAUUGAAAGUGGGUUUGGAGAAGUCAUGACUUUGGUUGAUGAUAAUCCCACUAUUUUUUAAGAGCGUCAACUUUCAAUGCAUGUGGAUCAUGAAAAUAAUAUCCUUUGUGAUAGCUAUAUUGUUGAAUUUGAUUAUGACCCCACAUGUAAUUGCUAUGAGAGAGGAAAAUAUUGUGGUACAAACUUUCAUGUUACUAAAUUACCUCUCGUUAUGUUGAGAUUGCUAUUGUCUCUUUAUUCUUCCUUGCAUUUGGUAACUAUUGGUUGUCUUGACAAUUUGUUUUCCUAUAAAAUGCCUAUGAAUAGGAAGUACGUUAGAUUUAGAUGUGAUUUUCACAUGCUUUAUGAUGCUCUCGUUGUGCUUCAAUUCUUGUCUUUUGUGUGAGCAUCAUUGAUUUAUCAAUGCCUAGCUAAGGGCGUUAAACAACAGCGCUUGUUAGGAGGGAACCCAAUGAAUUUAUCUUUUCUUUUUGCUUUCUGUUUUGUUGUGUACACACCAUCAUAAUUCUGUUAUGAUUGUGUUUUUUUGUUUCUCUUUGUGUUUGAGCCAAGUAAAGCCUUUAUGACUAGUUUGGUAAUGGUUGUUUGAUCAUGCUGGAAAAAGACAGAAACUUUUCUCUCACGAAAUUAUUUUUCAUUUUUAUCCAGAAAAAGCUUUUGAGUUUAUUCUUUUUGCUCCUGGUUGAUAUGCCUUUUUCCUAGGCAGUCGUAAUUUGUCAGAAUUUUUGAGGUACCAUAAGUAUACGAAGUAUACAGAUUGCUACAGACUGGUCUGUUUUUGACAGAUUCUGUUUUUGUUGUGUUGAUUGCUUAUUUUGAUGAAAUUAUGGAUAAUAUCAGGAGGUACAAGCCAUGGAAAAGUGAGAAUACAGUAAUAUAACACCAAUAUAAAUAGAAAUCUAGUUUGUUUAAGUACUUAAAGAGGUGGUGGUUUGUUUUCUUAUGCUAACGAUAUCACGAGUUUCUGUUUAAGUUUUGUGUUGUGAAGUUUUCAAGUUUUGGGUGAUGUUCUCAUGGUCAAUGGGAUAAAGAGUGGAAAGAGAUCAAGCUUGGGGAUGCCCAAGGCAUCCCAAGCCAAAUUCAAGGACACCAAAAAGCCUAAGCUUGGGGAUGCCCCGGGAAGGCAUCCCCUCUUUCGUCUUCAAUCCAUCGGUAAUGUUACUUGGAGCUAUAUUUUUAUUCACCACAUGAUAUGUGUUUUGCUUGGAGAUUCAUGUAUUAUAGUAGUCUUUUAUUUUUGUUGUGUCACAAUCAUCCUUGCUGCACACCUUUUCGAUAGAGACAUGCACUCAUCGUGAUUUUGCUAGAACACUCAUUGAGCUUCGCUUAUAUCUUUUGAGUUAGGCAAUUUAGCUCGCAUGUGCUUCACUUAUAUAUUUUGAGCUAGAUAACUUUGCUAUAGUGCUUCAAUUAGAUCUUUUUAGAGCACGGCGGUGUCGUAUUUUGAAGAAAUAAGAACUCUCGAUCUUCACUUAUAUCUUUUUGAGAGUGCUCUCUCUGAGUAACUUGGUAAUUGGCUUGUGCUAUGAAAGUAGUCCAAAAGAUGAUAUGCAUCCAAAGAGGAUAUACUAUAAACUUCCAUAUUCUUGUGCAUUGAUUAUAAAGAGAAGGUUGAUUCCUCUCAAUUAGUUUUGAGACAUAGAUUUGGUAAUAUUAGAGUUAUGUUAGUAGGGUGUCGUGAAUCUAGAAAUACUUUUGUUGAAGUUAGUGAUUCCCGUAGCAUGCACGUAUGGUGAACCGCUAUAUUAGGAAGUCGGAGCAUAGUUGAUUUAUUGAUUGUCAUCCUUUGUGUGGCGGUCGGGAUCGCGCGAUGGUUAACACCUACCAACCCUUCCCCUAGGAGUAUGCGUUUAGCACUUUGUUUUGAUUACUAAUAAAACUUUCGCAAUACGUAUAUGACUUCUUCAUGACUAAUGUGAGUCCAUGGUAUAGAUGCACUUUCACCUUCCACCAUUGCUAGCCUCUCUAGUGCCGUGCAAUUUUCGCCGGUGCACAAACCCACCAUGUACCUUCUCAAAACAGCCAUACCUAUUAUGGCAUUUUCAUAGCCAUUCCGAGAUAUAUUGCCAUGCAACUCCCACCGUUCCGUCUCAUGACAUGUGCCGUCACUUUCAUAUUGCCAUUGCAUGAUCGUAAGAUAGCUAGCGAGAUGUUUCAACGUCAUACGCUAAGCUAGAUCGUUGCACAUCCCGGUACACUGCCGGAGGCAUUUCCUAUAAAUUCAUCAUUGCUCUAAGUGUUGAGUUGUGAGUAAAUAAAAGUGUGAUGAUCAUCAUUAUUAGAGCAUUUUCCCAUGUGAGGAAAUUAAAAAAAGGGAGGCUAAAGAUGCCCACCAAAAAAAAUGAGAAAAAAGAGGCCAAGGAGCCCAAACAAAAAAAAUGAGAGAAAAAGAGAGAAGGGACAAUGUUACUAUGUUUUUCCACACUUCUGCUUCGAAAUAACACCAUGUUCUUCAUGAUAGAGAGUCUCUUGGUUUGACACUUCCAUAUACUAGUGGGAAUUUUCGUUAUAUAACUUGGCUUGUACAUUCCAAUGACGGGCUUCCUCAAAAUUGCCCUAGGUCUUCGUGAGCAAGCAAGUUGGGUGCACACCCACUAGUUCUUCUUUUGAGCUUUCACACACUUAUAGCUCUUGUGCAUCUGUUGCAUGGUAAUCCCUACUCAUUCACAUUGAUAUCUGUUGAUGGGCAUAUCCAUAGCUCAUUAAUACACCGAGUCAAUGUGACCAUCUCCUCCUUUUUACCUCACAACCUCCACCACACUCUAUUGCACCUAUAGUGCUAUAUCCAUGGCUCACGCUCAUGUAUUGCGUGAGAGUUGAAAUUUUUUGAGAAAGUAAGAGUGUGAAAACAAUUACUUGGCCAAUACUGGGGUUGUGUAUGAUUUAAAUUCGUUGUGUGGGGAUGAUGGAGCAUAGCCAGACUAUAUGAUUUUUGUAGGGAUAACUUUCUUUAGCCUUGUUAUUUCGAAAGUUCAUGAUUACCUUGCUAGUUUGCUUGAAGUAUUAUUGUUUUCAUGUCAAUAGCAAACUAUUGUUUUGAAUCUUACGGAUCUGGACAUGCAUGCCACAAGAAAUAAGUUACAAAGGACAAAUAACUUAGGUAGCAUUCCACAUCAAAAAUUCAGUCUUUAUCACUUCCCUACUCGAGGACGAGGAGGAGUUAAGCUUGGGGAUGCUUGAUAGGUCUCCAACGUAUCUAUAAUUUUUUAUGGUUCCAUGUUAUUAUCUUGUCAUCUUUGGAUGUUUUGUAUGCAUGAAUAUGCUAUUUUAUAUCUUUUUUUGGGACUAACCUAUUAACUCAGUGCCAAUUGCCAGUUCCUGUUUUUACGUGUUUUUGACCUUUUUCAGAGGAGAAUAUUGAACGGAGUCCAAACGGAAUAAAACCAGCGGAAUGAUUUUUUCCAUAACAAGAAGACAUAGAGGAGACUUGAGAACCAAGGCAGGGGACCUCGGAGGAGGUCACAAGCCACCCAGGCCCGGCCUGGGGGGGGGGGCUAGCAGGCUUGUGGCCCCCCUGUGGCUCCCCUGCCCUAGUUCUUCCGCCUAUAAAUUCCCUAAAAAUCUGAAACCACAGAAGAGAGCCACGAAAAUACUUUUCCGCCGCUGCAAGCUUCUGUCUCCGCAAGAUCCCAUCCGGGGCACGUUCUGGUGCCCUGCCGGAGGGGGGGUUCGGACACGGAGGUCUUCUUCAUCAACACCAUUGCCUCUCCGAUGAUGCGUGAGUAGUUCACCAUAGACCUUCGGGUCCAUAUCUAGUAGCUAGAUGGCUUCUUCUUUCUCUUGGAUCUUCAAUACAAAGUUCUCCAUGAUCUUCAUGGAGAUCUAUCCGAUGUAAUCUUCUUUUGCGGUGUGUUUGUUGAGAUCCGAUGAAUUGUUGAUUUAUGAUCAGAUUGUCUACGAAUGUUAUUUGAGUCUUCUCUGAUCUCUUAUAUGCAUGAUUUCGUAUUCUUGUAAUUCUCUUCGAGUUGUGGGUUUCGUUUGGCCAACUUGAUCUAUAAUUCUUGCAAUGGGAGAAGUGCUUGGUUUUGGGUUCAUACCGUGCGGUGACCUCACCCAGUGACAGAAGGGGUAGCGAGGCACGUAUCGUGUUGUUGCCAUCAAGGGUAAAAAGAUGGGGUUUAUAUCUAUUGCAUGAAUUUAUCCCUCUACAUCAUGUCAUCUUGCUUAAGGCGUUAUUCCGUUUUUCAUGAACUUAAUAGACUAGAUGCAUGCUGGAUCGCGGUCGAUGUGUGGAGUAAUAGUAGUAGAUGCAGAAAGUAUCGGUCUACUUGUCUCGGACGUGAUGCCUAUAUGUAUGAUCAUUGCCUUAGAUAUCAUCAUGACUUUGCGCGGUUCUAUCAAUUGCCCGACAAUAAUUUGUUCACCCACCGUAAUACUUUCUAUCAUGAGAGAAGCCUCUAGUGAACACUAUGGCCCCCGGGUCUACUUCACAUCAUAUUUUCAGCUUUACACUUUUACUUUGUUGCACUUUCCACCUUCAGAUCUCACCUUGCAGUUAACCGUGAAGGGAUUGACAACCCCUUUUGUAGCGUUGGGUGCAAGUUUGCUUGUUUUUGCGCAGGUACUUUGGAGACUUGCCUUGAUACUCCUACUGGAUUGAUACCUUGGUUUUCAAACUGAGGAAAAUACUUACUGCUACCAUGCUGCAUCACCCUUUCCUCUUCAAGGGAAAAACCAACGCAAGCUCAAGAGGUAGCACACAUUACAUACCACGCAUUCAUCAAUGAUUGCAUCAUUUAUUGGAGGAAAAAACAAGUUGCAAGGGGUGCAAUGCUUCUCGAUACAAGAAGGCUAGACAAAAAUUACCCCCACAAGUUGUAUGGUACUUACCGAUCACUACUUUCUUUAGCGUUAUUUCGUAGAUCCUAAGGAAGCAAAGCUCAUGCGUUGGUGCGCGAAGAGAGUGAAGCCCGAUGAUGAAUAUGAUCCGAAAUUGAGACACCUCGCGGAUGCAAGCCAGUGGAGAGCGUUCACUGCCUAAUAUUGAUAUUUUGUAGGUGAUCCAAGGAACAUCAUGAUUGGCACCCAAAACACCAACCGUAGCACAUGGCCCAUGUAUGUAUGGAUGUAAAACCUCCCACCUGGAUGUGCAAGAGGACAAACUAAAUACACAUGAGCCUUCUGAGUCAAGGGCCAAAACAACCAAGAAAUAAUAUGAAGAUGUAUCUGGGGCUCCUGAAAGAGGAGCUAUACAUGUUAUGGACAACAACGGUGAAGACAUGGGACACCAACAAAGGAGAGUAUUUCUAUAUGAGAGCCGCAAUGAUGAUGGUGGUGCAUGAUUAUCUUGGUUACAAAUAUGUAUCAGGCGAUGUGUGCCAUGGAUAUUGCGCAUGCACUACAUGCAUGGAUGAUAGAACGUCUCAACACCUAACAUUAACAAAAUAUGGCGGGUCUAAAAAAAUCGUGUACAAUUAUAAAUAUACCCUAGAGGCAAUAAUAAAUUUUUUAUUAUCAUAUUUCCUUGUUCAUGAUAAGAGUUUAUUAUCCAUGCUAGAAUUGUAUUGACCAGAAACUCAAAUAUAUGUAUGGAUACAUAAACAACACUGUGUCCCUAGUGAGCCUCUACUAGACUAGCUCGUUGAUCAAAGAUUGUUAAGGUUUCCUAGCCAUAGACAUGAGUUGUCAUUUGAUAAUGUGAUCACAUCAUUAGGAGAAUGAUGUGAUGGACAAGUGAAACCACAACUUUUCCCUAGGUGAUUUUGGUAAUUAAUAACAACAUGUAUUUCAUUGGACUAAUGAAUCUAUCAAGUAUAUUUAAGGGAAAGUUCAAUGAAUAGACUUUCUAGGAUUGUGAGGAGAUUCCUUAGAUGCUUGGAACAUCAAUUGGAAAAAGCUUCAAGGCUCUACAUUUAUAUUUACAUGAGAAAUCACAUUUGAGUCCAUAGGAAAUACAAUACUAUUAAAAGGGGAUGAGGUAUCGAUGAUGAUGUGGUUGCUCAAAUGCUUAGAGAUUAGACACAAAAAACCCACAACAAUUCUCCCACAAAAUAUCCUAUCAAAAUCCCUAAAGUCAAAUUCGGUGCCAUAAAAAAAUUCCCACUUCGGCCAUACCAAGUUUUCCUUAGACAUAUUCCAAGCCAAAACCCUAACAACUUGGUGUAACGGAGUUUCGCUUCAGUCUAGCCGAAAAGUAGUAACCAACUCUCUAGAUAUGAGGUAUUCAACUUUGGAGAUUUCGAAUUUUAUAUCUCGGGGUCAUCGAGUCACUCGAGCUGCCUAGGCCAACUGAAUUGGACUCACCGAGAUGUUGUAUAUCGGUUUCACCGAAAAGCCUAAAGUUAGACCAUUUUGUACUAGUCGAUGCAACCGAGUUUUUUACUUUAGUUCCAUUGAGUUGGGGAAUAAUGUUGUAAAGUUGAAUUUUUGGAGAUGGCUAUAUAUACCCUCCACACCCCUCUCAUCCGUAGAGAGAGCACUGAGAACAAGCAAACACUUCCAUCAUUCAUUUUGUGAGAGAGAACCACCUACUCAUGUGUUGAGAUCAAGAUCUUCCACUCCAACCAUAUGAAUCUUGAUUUCUAGCCUCCCCAAGUUACUUUCCACCCAAUCAAUCUCUUCUACCAAGCCAAAUUCCAUGAGAGAGUGAUUGAGUGUUGAGGAGACUAUCUUUUGAAGAACAACAACAAGGAGUUCAUCAUCCAUACCACAUUUAUUACCUUUUGGAGAGUGGUGUCUCCUAGAUUGGUUAGGUGUCACUUGUGAUGGGGUUAUAGCCCUAGGGUGGGGUCAUAGGCCUGACUUAUAUGUCCUAUCCAAGGGCACCUCAUUAUUAGCUUAAGGAUCACAAGAUACUUACCGACUGGAUUAAGACAACCUGUGAUCCACUCGGUAAAGAACCACUCAGAAGAUUACCUAAUACUCGACGACUAGAUUCCACUCGGUAAAGACCAGAAGCAAGUCGACAUAGAAGACCAGAAGCCACUCUAGCGAGGCUAACGGUGAGGCGUUAAACUACUGUAGUUAAUGUCAUUUAUGGCAUACGUUACCUGUAAUGUAUGCAUUCAAUCUUACUUAUUGCACGCUUGAAGGUUGGACACUUAUGAGGGGCAACACACUCUAUAUAAGCCACCCUCCCCUCUGGCACAAGGGUUCGCAUUCUGUAACAUUCAUAUUCCACUCGACACUAAAGAUCCAGAGCACUGAGACGUAGGCUGUUACCUCCACCGUAGAGGGGCCUGAACUCAUACAACCUUGCCGUAGCUAGGACUCUGCCCUCUACUUUCGUACCCUACACAUCUACUGUCACGCUUAUAUCCACGACAGUUGGCGCCAACCGUGGGGCAGGUGACUAGGCGACUUCUGGCAAGUUUGCCUUUUUUUCCUCUUCACCAUGUCUUCCGGCGGUGAUUUGUGUCUGGGCCACGAGAUCGUGUUCGGCACACUCGUCUUCGUCGCCGAUGAUUCGACAUGGCUUCGGGAGGCGCCUCUCGAUGUCGAGGCGCUUCCAGUUCGCGGCGCGACGUUCUUCCGCGCUAGUUCCUGCGGAGUUCUUCUUCGCCAACCGUCGACUCUGUCGUCGAUUGUGCUCCCCAUCGCAUGUCGCGACAAGCGAUCCGGUCGCUCACGGCUCGAGCGCUGGGUGCAUCAUGCACUCGCGCGUCAAGCGUCUUCGCCGCAGGUGGCAUCCAUUGAACCUGCUACACCUCCGUGUGCUGCAUCUCACUUGGUGUCAGAUCCGUCUGGCUCUUCUUCCGAGUGUGAGAACCGCAGCCCUGCGGCGGAGGUUUUCAUGGCCGGCUCACACGAGAGCCCGCCAAGGACCAAUCGGGACAAGCGGGAAACCGGAGAGACUUCGGGUGCGCGUCAUCAUCCGCGCCCUCCAGCAUAUGGUCGGCGUUCUCAUCACGACAACAUCGAGGUAUUCCGCACGCCUAUCCUCAACUUGGCUGCGGCCGCAAGGAUUGCAGACUCCAUCCAGCCGCCAAAUUCAUCAACGGGCAGAGGAGUGCAGCAGAUCCGUGCCGUGUUACACGUGGCACAACAGUAGAAUUCUACUGUAUCUCAGUCUCACAACAGACUACACAUCAAUUCCGUCCGAGCAGACACAGCUUGGUCGGUUUACAACCCAAGUUCUCCCAGCAUCGUAGAGGAGGAUAUCACCGAGAAGAUCGGUAUAGAGACCAGGGGCGGAAUCCGCUCCCCCCCGGUUCAAUCCUGAAGAUCGCCAUCGCUCACGCUCUCCUCCGUGGAGUGGUUCGUACGCGCCCUGGCGCAACGACAAAAGGCGAUCGGUGGGCGACGACCGCGACCAAAGGCGUGAUGGAAGGGGCUAUCUCACUCAGAAGAGAGUUGAUAGAGACCGAGACCAUCGUGACGGAUAUGACGGUGAUCAUCCGAGUGGAAGUGGCUCUGUCAUCUCCAUACCCGAGUGUUUCAGCCGAGCAAUCCGCUCCGCUGAUAUUCCCCCCAACUUCAGAUUGGCGGCCGAAAUAAGCAUGUUCACUAGAGAAUCCAAGCCAGAGACGUGGCUAGAUGAUUACCGAGUGGAAGUUUAGAUCGGCGGCGGCAAUGACAACGUCACAAUGAAGCACUUGCCCCUGAUGCUGGAUGGUUCGGCCCGUGCCUGGCUGAAUCAACUAGCUCCAUCAAGCAUAUACUGCUGAGCAGAUUUGGCCCGAGUGUUCAUCAAGACCUUCGAGGGCACCUGCAAGCGCCCUGCUGGUCUCUCAGAGCUACAACAUUGUAUCCAGAAGCCGAGUGAGUCUUUGCACGAUUAUAUCCAGCAUUGGACCACUCUUCACCACACUGUGGAGAACGUCACCGAGCAUCAAGCAGUCUGCGCUUCCAAAGCAGGCCUCAAGUAUCGCGAGUUGUACUUGAAGUUCGGUCGCACAGGAGAUAUGUCUAUGAGCAAGAUGAUGGAGAUAGCGACCCGCUAUGCCAAUGGAGAAGAAGAAGACCGCCUCCGUAGCGGCAAAGGCAAAGCAGUCGACGGAGAUGCCAAUUCCAACCGAAAGUAGAAGCAGAAGGUAGAACACACACCGCCGGCAGAAGCAGCCGCUCCGGGAGCGGGUAAUUUCAAGGGAAAGGGCAAGAGUCAACCCCCCCCCCCC
rnacentral:lncRNA from 1 species